AAAAAAAAAAAAUUUCUGGGCUGUUGGGCGUGAGGGAGGCUGCUGCCAUAUUCAAGGUGCAGGCGUUAAAGGUUCCUCUAAAGACACCGCCAACUCAGGGAGGUACGUUUUUGGGUCAACAUCGAUCUAGGUGUGGGACCUGGCUACGACAGGUUCUCUUGUGGGUAAUCUGUUAUCUUGUUGAAUUUUCUUAGCAAUUAUGUCUGACAAAAAGACUGGAGUUUCUGAUAUAGUUCCGUUGGUUUCAAAAAUCACGGAACACAAAUUAAAUGGAAUUAAUUUUCUUGAUUGGAACCAUACUAUUGAAUUAUAUCUACUCAGUAUUUCUAUGGAUGGUCAUCUGACCGAUGAUCCACCUACGGAUGACUCUAGACUGUCUUGGGUGAGAGAAGAUGCUCGCUUGUAUAUACAAAUUCGUAAUUCUAUUGAUAGUGAGGUGGUGGGCCUGGUUACCCAUUGUAAGACAGUGAAACAGUUAAUGAACUAUUUGCAGUUCUUAUAUUCGGGAAAAGGAAACUUCUCUCGUAUCUAUGAUGUUUGCAAGGAUUUUUACAGGGCAGAUAAAGGAGAUAAGUCUCUCACCAGUUAUUUUAUGGACUUCAAGAAAACAUAUGAAGAGCUCAAUAUGCUGCUUCCCUUCAGUAUCAAUGUGGAGGAACAACGGAAUCAGCGAGAGAAGAUGGCUGUUAUGAGUUUUCUCGCCGGUCUUCCGUCUGAAUUUGAGACUGCCAAAUCUCAAAUUCUUUCCGGAUCAGAAAUUUCCUGUCUAGAAGAUGCUUUUCGAAGGAUUCUUCGUACAGAGAAUACGUUACCUGUUCUAUCCACUCAGCCUAACAGUGUUCUUAUUAGUCGUACUACCACAUUUGAUUCAGGAAGACAACACUACAAGAGUAGUGGCAACAGUAAGAGCAUGGGGUCGGGGUCCAACAACUCUGAUAAAAUUACUGAAAAUCGUGGAAAGGAGCAAGGAGAAAUUGUAUGUCACUACUGUCAUAAACCAGGACAUAUCAAGCGGGACUGUCGAAAGCUACAGUAUAAGAAAGCUCAAUUUGCACAUGUUGCAUCUAGUUCUGAGACCUCUGAAAAGUCUGUUACAAUCUCUGCAGAUGAGUAUGCCAGAUUGACUCAGUUUCACGAAACAGUGAAACAGCCAUCCGGUCGUGUUACUGCACUUGUUGAGACAGGUAAACCCAAUACAUGCCUUGUUUCCUCUUCUCCAAAAUGGGUCAUUGAUUCUGGUGCUACAGAUCACAUGACAGGUAAUCCCAAUUUACUUUCUAACUUUCAGCCACAUAAAUCUAUCACUCCUGUUACUUUAGCCGAUGGUUCAACAUCCAGUGUUAUUGGGUCUGGAACCACUAAACCUACAUCCUCUCUCCAUUUGUCAUCUGUUCUGAGUCUACCACGACUAUCGUUUAAUCUGAUUUCUGUCAGCAAACUUACUCGUGCCCUUAAUUGUUGUGUCUCAUUUUUUCCUGGUUCUUGUGUAUUUCAGGAUCUCAUGACGAAGAAGAUUAUUGGUAAGGGACAUGAGUCUGACGGUCUCUACAUUCUUGAUACACAGAAACCAGGGUCUAUAGCCUGUGCUGGAACAGUCUCUCCUCUUGAAGAACACUGUCGAUUGGGUCAUCCUUCGCUUUCUAUGUUAAAGCAACUUUGUCCUCAGCUUUCGAACAUUACUUCAUUAGAUUGUGAGUCGUGUCAGUUUGCUAAACACCAUCGUCUUAGUUCUAGUCCUAGAAUCAAUAAACGAGCUACUGCUCCCUUUGAGUUAGUCCAUUCCGAUGUUUGGGGUCCUUGUCCGGUGACUUCUAAAACUGGUUUCAGAUAUUUUGUUACAUUUGUUGAUGAUUAUUCUAGAAUGACAUGGCUUUAUUUGAUGAAAAAUCGCUCAGAAUUAUUCUUUCACUUUUCUUCCUUUUGUGCUGAAAUACGAACCCAAUUUGGUAAACCAGUACAAAUUUUAAGAAGUGAUAAUGCAAAAGAAUAUGUUUCAGGAAAUUUUCAGAAAUACAUGCUUGAGCAGGGUAUUCUCCAUCAAACUUCUUGCGUUGACACCCCUUCUCAAAAUGGGGUUGCUGAGAGAAAGAAUAGACAUCUUCUUGAAACUUCUCGAGCCUUGUUAUUUCAAAUGAAGGUUUCUAAAUGCUUCUGGGCUGAUGCUGUAUCUACUGCUUGUUUUCUAAUCAAUCGUAUGCCUUCCUCUGUUUUAUCUGGUAAUACUCCUUUACACACUCUAUUCCCGAAUAGACAAUUGUUUCCUAUAGAACCAAAGAUAUUCGGGUGUACUUGUUUUGUUCGGGAUGUUCGUCCUCAAGUUACAAAACUUGAUCCUAAGUCCUUAAAGUGUAUAUUCCUGGGUUAUUCCCGUGUACAAAAAGGGUAUCGUUGUUAUUGUCCUAGUCUUGGUAAGUAUCUUGUGUCUGCCGAUGUCACUUUUUUGGAACAAACACCUUUCUCCUCAUCUUCAGGUUCUGUGAGUCCGGGGGAGGAUGAUGAUUUGUUAAUCUAUAGUGUCAUACCAAAUUUGGAUUCGCCUCCCUCUACACCAGUUAAGCCUCCCAUCAAAUACACCUACUCGCGUCGCCCACAUCUGCCCAGUUCUGACUUGGUCCUGGAGUCUCCAACAUCAUGUCCUGAUGAACCAGUAUCUUCGUCAUCAGAUCCGACUACCAAUGAUGAUCUUGAUCUCCCUAUUGCUCAAAGAAAAGGUAAACGUGCAUGUACUUAUCCAAUCUCUUCAGUUGUUUCCUACAAUCAUUUGUCUUCCUCUUCUCGUGCUUUUCUUACAUCCCUAGACACUAUUUCUGUACCCAAAACUGUUCAAGAGGCAUUAGCUCAUUCCGGAUGGCGGAAUGCUAUGAUUGAGGAAAUGAAUGCUCUAGAUGUCAAUGGUACGUGGACUUUAGUUACCCUACCUGCAGGUAAACGAGCUAUUGGAUGUAAAUGGGUGUUUACGGUCAAAAUGAAUCCUGAUGGUUCCAUUUCUCGAUUGAAAGCUAGACUUGUUGCUAAAGGAUAUGCUCAGACUUAUGGCGUGGACUAUCAUGAUACUUUUUCUCCUGUAGCUAAACUUGCUUCUAUCAGGUUAUUUAUCUCCCUUGCAGCAGCUUAUGACUGGCCUCUGCAUCAAUUAGACAUCAAGAAUGCCUUUCUUCAUGGUGAUCUUCAGGAGGAGGUCUAUAUGGAGCAACCACCAGGUUUUGUUGCUCCAGGGGAGUAUGGGAAAGUCUGUCGUCUGAACAAAUCUCUAUAUGGUUUGAAACAGAGUCCUCGGGCUUGGUUUGGAAAAUUUAGCCAAGCUCUUGAAAAGUUUGGGAUGCAAAAGAGCAAGUCCGAUCAUUCUGUUUUCUAUAAACAAUCUCAUGGGGGUAUUAUUCUGUUAGUUGUAUAUGUGGAUGAUAUUGUCAUCACAGGUAGUGACCCUAGAGGAAUUUCGUCUCUGAAGUCCUUUCUUACUACUCAGUUCCAUACCCAAGACUUGGGGAUGUUAAAGUAUUUCUUGGGAGUUGAAGUUAGCAGGAGUAAGAAAGGAAUCUUCCUAUCUCAGAGGAAGUAUGUGCUUGAUUUACUGAUGGAGUCGGGAAAAUUGGGUGCUAAACCAUGUAGUACCCCAAUGGUUCCUAAUUUACAGUUAACCAAAGAAGGUGAGUUGUUUGCAGAUCCUGAGAGGUAUAGAAGACUUAUUGGAAAGUUGAAUUAUCUUACUGUGACACGUCCUGAUAUUGCUUAUUCAGUGAGUGUGCUGAGCCAGUACAUGUCAUCACCAACUAUUGACCAUUGGAAAGCAGCAGAACAAGUUUUACACUAUUUAAAAGGUGCUCCUGGACGUGGUAUCCUAUAUGGCAAUUAUGGUCAUACUAGGAUCGAAUGUUUCUCAGAUUCUGAUUGGGCAGGGUGUAAGGAAGAUAGGAGAUCUACUUCAGGAUAUUGUGUUUUUGUUGGGGGAAAUUUGGUUUCAUGGAAGAGUAAGAAACAGAAUGUAGUCUCACGAUCAAGUGCAGAAGCUGAAUACAGAGCUAUGGCAAAGUCUGUGUGUGAAAUCAUAUGGGUAUAUCAGCUCCUGAGUGAAGUAGGAAUUAAGGUCUCGGUACCUGCAAAGCUACGAUGUGAUAAUCAAGCUGCACUUCACAUUGCUUCUAAUCCAGUCUUUCAUGAACGAACGAAACAUAUUGAGAUUGAUUGUCACUUCAUUCGUGAAAAGAUCCAACAGGGUUUGAUCACUACAGGUUAUGUGAAGACUGGGGAACAAUUAGGUGAUAUAUUCACAAAAUCUCUUAACAGGGUCCGUACUGAUUAUCUAUGUAACAAGUUGGGCAUGAUUGAUAUCUAUGCUCCAACUUGAGGGGGAGUGUUACAGAUUGUAGGCUGAUUUGUAGGGAUUAGAUAGCUGAUUUGUGGGGAUUAGAUAGUUACAGAUGUAGGCUGAUUUGUAGGGAUUAGAUAGCUGAUUUGUGGGGAUUAGAUAGUUACAGAUGUAGGCUGAUUUGUAGGGAUUAGAUAGCUGAUUUGUAGGGAUUAGAUAAGUUACAGAUUGUAGGCUGAUCUGUAGGCUAAAUAAUAGGAACUAGAUAUGUCUAUACUUGUAUAUAUACCGUUAUGAUUGAUGAAUAAAAGGUAAGGAAAAUUCAUUCCCUUUUUCUGAGUUUAACAGGUUCAAUAUAGAUUUUUCUACCUCUGUCGUUUUCAAUGUAAUUAUUUACAAGUCUGCAUUCAUUGUAGAUGAUUUGUUGUGUUUUGGUUGCUCUCUAGUGCUACUUGCAUUGGAUAUGAACAUACAUUUUUCAAGCUGUAAUUAUUCAAUUUUUGGAAUUUUGAAGUGUAUUUUCCAAGGCUUCUGUCACUCCACCCAAGCUGUUGUAGCACAAUCUGCAUUCUUUCAUAAUCAAAAGUUGAAGACUCAGGCGCAAGAGAAAUAGGGAUUUUCAAUGGUGGUCAAUUUCUCCCUAAUCAGAUUUUUCAGAGGCUGUGGUGUUGCUCACUUCCUUUUAAUCUAAGGAAUGAAUGAGGGUUAUGAUCGGGUUUGAACCUCCAUGAUAAAACAACCAGAGGGCUGAAAACUAGGAGCUCCAAGACUGAUUGAGGCAUCAGAGAGAUGUGGGAUUUCUUCAAGGAGUGUUGCCCCUCUCCGUUUUUAGCCAAUGAUGUCUUCUUCUUCUUCUUCUUCAAAAGCCAACAACCCUUCUGUUUAAUUUAGUGUCCAUCCUUCUCAGGGUUUAAUUUCACAGAUCACCCUUUUGUACUACUACUGCUAGCAUUCACUGGAACCAAACAUGGCGUCCGACAACUUUGCAAAGUUUCUUGGGCCUAGUUUGGGAGUUUGAGAGAGAGAGAUAGAGAGAGAGAGAUUUUGUAUGGUCCCAUAAAAAAUGGCUGUGAUGAUUUUACAUCUCUGAAUGGGAGCUGAGUUGUUUUUUUCUCCCUCAGGGCAAUUGAGGUGAACCGACCCGUAUCUUGGCAGGGCAACCCUGAUGGCCUGCAUGCAACAGGGUUUUGCAGCCAUGGCGGUGUUUCUCUACUUCUUUGCCCAAAGCCUAAAGUUUUUAAAAGAUCUGAGCCCAUUUUUCUCAAGGUUCACAUCGUUAGCAUGCCUUUCUGAAAUUGUCCCUUUACUCAUGUAGUCUCUAAGGGAUGAGGCAUUAUACUUCUUUCAACUGAAAGAUCGAAAGAAUGAUGGGGCAGAGAGAGUGUACUAUUGGGGCGAGUUUCUAAGGGUGGCUGCCCCUCUCUGCAUUUCCCCCAAUGAUUUCUCAGUCCUCAAACAAGGAAGAAAGAAUAAACCACCCUUGGAAAACGAAAAAGAAAGGAAUUCACAAAUAUCGUAUUAUUUGUUCUGGUUCUGGUACUGUAGCUGUGAUGCAAUUCACACGUGCUUUGUGAUGCAAUCCGGAUGGUAUGUUUUUAUGGGUUAUCCCUUCUCACAUGCAACUCGAUUUGCAGCCAUUGCGGAACCUUUCCCCCUUUACCCAUUUCUUUUAUAAAACUGAGCCUCGUUUUUUGUGUGUGUUCGAAUCUUGUAGAAAUCCUCCUUGAAUAGUGGUACCUGUCACUGGUAAUUUUUAGCUCAAAGAAUGAGGCAUCAGGGAGAUGGGAUUUCUUAGAAGGGUCGUUGCCCCUCUCUGUUUCGCCUGUGAUUUCUUCAUUACCCAAUGCAAAACCAACGGCCCUUCAUUACUAGUAUCUAGUAGUAGUAGUAAUAAUAAUAAUAAUCAGACUUCAGAAUGCAGCUGAUAUUGAGCUUGUUCUUGUAUGCUUUAGAUUUUGUAAAAGCUGAUUAUGGAAAGUGGCACUAGAGAAUAAUCAUAAUCAGCUGAGGCUACUCAUUGGUGGAUUUGGAUUUCAGAUUUUUUGGCCAUUAACAAAUGCAAAAUGCAGAUGCAAAAAAACAUUAUAAAAAAUGAUUAUCCAAAAAUUAGAAUCUAUGAUCAGGUGAAAUAAUAGACUGAGAACAAGCCUGUUGUUUCUGCUGCUGCUGGUGUUGUUGUUUUUGCUCUUUGAUGAAUCCAAAACAGAAAGAGGGUAGAAGAAAGUAAAGGCUGUGAUGAUGUUUCUUAUGAGCAAUGGAAUCAGGCAUUGAUUGAUGAGAAGUUGACCCGCAUCUUGGUAGGGCAACUCGGAUGGCAUACUGUUUCUAUGGGAGUGGUUGAUGACUGAUUAUGUUCCCUUUCAUGUAACCGGUGAUUUGCAGCCAUGGCGGUGUCACAUACUCAAUGCCUGAUGUACAAAUCUGAGCCUCAUAUUCAUCUUGUAGGAUUCCUUUUUCACAUUACUGGUCUUAUUGGAAAUAGAGUUUUUUUUUUCCCUGUUUAGUCUUCUAGCAUUUAUAGGUUGCUCUUUUUAUUUUGAAGGAUUUUCUGAUCUUUUCUUUUAUUGUAUAUGCUUUUUGGUUUUUCUCAUUUCUCUGCCGGCUUUUCUCAUAACUGCAUGGCCCAAUAUGAAUCACCACCAUGGCUCCAUUGGCUUUUUGUUUCUAUACACCAACACCGAGAUUUUACUGGAAAGGGUGCUAUUCUGCAAGUUUGUCAAGUGAUUGAUGCUGUCCUUGAUAUUAGAUUCAAGGAAGGAGGGGUGCCAAUUUGAUGGCGCCGGAGGUGGUUUGAUAAUCAGAUCCAACUUGUAUUUGAGUUGGCUCAGCAUACAAGGGAGAAUUUGUUAGGUGUAUCUAUGGGCUACUCCAGGUCUUGUUUGUAGGCAGCAGGUGCCCAACAACUACUCCCGUAUUACGGUGCCUGUUGGUAGAGCUGCUCUUGGCCGUAUCAUAAGCGUCAUUGGAGAAGCUAUUGAUGAUCAGAGGUGAAAUUAAAACUGAAAUUAUUUGCCAAUCUGUAUUUAGGCCUCAGCUUUCGCUGGUCAGUCUAGUGAACCAGAAAUUCUUGUUACUCGAACUAAGGUUUUACAAUUCUGCAGUUCUGCGCAGUUCAACUUGUCCUUGCAUGUGUAUGAUGCUAUUCAUGGCUCUUGUGAUUUUGUGUUCUGUUAGAGAGUUUUCUAGUUUCGGCUGUGCUAAAUACUUCAACUGUAGUUGAUAUUUUCAUUUUGGGUUUUCUUAUUUCUGUCGUCUUAUUGCAGGUAUCUGUGUUAAGUGUCUGUAGAAUUGUUCUUUCUAAAACUGGUGUAUUUCUUAUUGAAAUUUCUAGUGCAAAUAUGUAGGGCUACUGUUGCUGCACCACACUCUUCUGAUCAUAUUCUUGUUAUUUAUGGCUAGGUAAAAUUAUCUAGAAUCGGAUCAGUUUUAGUCUCUUCAUGUACAUCUUCAAGGAGAUCAGUUUCUCUCUUCCCAACUUCCUGGAGUUACCCAAGUUUCCGAUUUCUGACAUCGCAAGGAAUCAUAUAUCCUAUUUCCAUUUGUCCACUUUCUUUGGAUAGGCAAAGCUUAUACUACAUGGAUCUUGGGACGAUACUGAAGGGACCUUGGAUGCCCCUCUCUUUAGCAGCAACAACUUCUCUUCAACAUCAUGCAAAAAUGCUACCACAGCUUCCCAGUUCCCAGAACCAUGAAAAUGAAAAUGAAUUCUGUCGAGAAAGAAAAUAGAAAGGAAGCAUUGGCCCAGUUGCAAAAACUAACCAACCCGGCCAAAAAUUUAUUACAAAUUUCGCCCGGAACUUGUUUCCUUUGUGAUUCUGGUUUCUCAAGUCCAAGCCCAGCCAAGCACUAAUUAGAAGCAUAGGUGAAAUUUUAUUUUAUUUUUUUAUCAAAAUGCACAUAAAAGGCAUAUACUCAUAAAAAUUUAAAUCAUUGUAUUAUACUUUUAACUAAUCAAUGUGCAAGGCAAAUUUUCUUUUUUGCCUAUUAAUCCCUGAAAAGCAAAGUGUUAUUCUAAUCCAGUAACUGAGAUGGGCUGCACCAAUAGAUAAAUACGACUUGCCCAAAGCUCAGGAAACCGGGCAACAGUGACUAGCUGAAGCUCAGACCCAAAUCCGACGAGUAAAUUGGGAAAGUAUUAAACGUGUUUCUAGAGCCCAUUAACAUCAUUGUCACCCAAACAAAUAUUACGCAGGAAUGACUGGAAAAAGUGAAAACUGGGAGCUCCGAGACUGGAAUGAGGCGAGCAGGGAGACGGGAUUUCUUCAAGGGUGGUUGCCCCUCUCUGCUUCUUAGCCUUUGAUUUCUUUCUCUAUCACGUUACAGCAAAACCAACAUCCCUUCAUCGUUUGAGAGAAGGGUUAAUUACACUUAGCGCCCCUUUUUUUUUCGACUGAGUCGAACCAAACGGGCCCUUGUAUUCAUAUUCCCUGGAAAACCUCCCAGGAGCUUUAUUAGUUUGCGAGUUUAGGAAAGAAAAGAAAAGAAAGCAUCAAAAAGGCUGUGAUGAUUACUUUUCAUUCUCAGAAUCGGAGCAAGUUUUUCUUUUGCAGGGUAAUUUGAGGUGAACCGACCCGUAUCUUGGCAGGGCAACCCUGAUGGCCUGAAAAUGGGGGAUUCUUUCCCGUCUCCCUUUUGCAUGCAACUGGGUUUUUGCAGCCAUGGCGGUGUUUCUCUCCCUCUUUUGCUCUGAUGAAAGAUCUGAGCCAUUUUCUUUGAGGCGAAAUGAGGUAAUCAGAGAGAUUGGGAUUUUCUUGAAUUAAGGGUGGUUGCCCCUCUCUGUUUUGUAGUCUAUGAUAUCUUAGUUGCAUAAGUAAACAGCCCUUUGUGUUUUUUUGUUCAAGCGAGCGCUUUCGUGUAAAAGUUCUGAGCCAGUGUGCUUUUGAUGUUGAUGAUGAUGAUGAUGAUGAUGAUGAUGAUGAACUCAUAGUUGUUGUUGUUGUUGUUAGUGGUAGUGGUGGUGGUGGUGGUAGUAAGUGGUAACACUACAACGAAAUGAGCAAAGAAAAUGAGAGAUGGAAAAAGAGGCUAUGAUGAUGCUAUCGUAGUAAUAUUUCUUACGAGGAAAUGAACUAGCAUUGAUGGUAUAACCUGACCCGUGUCCUGGCGGGGCAACUGGAUGCAACUUUUGGUUUUGCAGCCAUGGCGGUGUCACAGUUCACGUCGUCAUCAAUGCUUGAUGAAAUGCAAGUUCUGAGCCUUGUCUAUGCUAUUAUAUGCAUUUCUACUUCUUGAGUUGGUUAUUUUAUACUUGUGAAUGGAAUGUGCAAGUAUGGUGUUGUAUUCCAAUCUAUAUGGAAAUAACCAUUUACUACACAAAGUGGGUUCGAAUACACGACCUUAAGUAAUUAACUUUACUUCGUUAAUCUUUCUUGAUCAGAGGGUUCUAUGGGAAUUCCUCUUUCAUCUCAAAGAAUGAAAGAAAUGAGGGCGCAGAGAGAGUUUUGGGGAGUUUCUAAGGGUGGUUGCCCCUAUCUCUGCUAUUUCCUGAUGAUUAGUUUGAAGAAAAAUAUAACAGCCCUAAUCAAGCAAAAGCCAAAAAAAAAAAAAAUAAUAAAUAAAAAGGAAAGGCAUGACAAAUGCCCUAGUACACUUUGGAUGGUUGUCUGAUCAUCACCAUUCGUCCGUCAUCUUUUCUUUUCCUCUGUUAAUAUUGGCUGUGAUGGUACAUCUUCUCUUGAGUUGCAGAUCAGGCAUGAUGCUAAUGGGACCGUAUCUUGGCAGGGCAACCCUGAUGAUAUGGGAUUUUCCCCACAUGCAACAGCGUUUGCAGCCAUGGCUGUUCCCCUUCCUCUUUGCCUGAUUUUGCUGCUCUACAUCUGAGCCUUUGUUUUGAUACAUGCGUGUAUGUGUGAGUUUUGUCCAAGAAAGGUGUUUGUUGCAACUUCUUUUCUGUUCAAAGUUGCCCUGGCAGGACAAAUAUUGCUCUGGAAUUAUGGUAACCCUUGAAUUGUUAAUUUAGCUCAAAAAUUGAUGCACCAAAGAGAUGGGACUUCUUAAGGGUGGUUGCCUCUCUCUGUUUUUAGCCUAUGAUCUCUUUCUUCAUCACAAAGAAGCCAACAGCCAUUGAGAGUUUAAAGCAAGGGUUAAUUGCACUUACCACCCUUUUGUUACUGAUGUGAACCAAAAGGCCCUCUUUAUUCAUACAUCAUGGAAAACUUCCAAGCCUCUAGUUUUCCAGUUUGAAAAAGAAAUGAAAACAUCAAAAAAGCUGUGAUGAUUAUUUACUCUCCAAAUGGAGCAAGUUUUUCUUUUGCAGGCAUUUUGAGGUGAUCCAGAACAUAUCUUGGCUGGGAAACCAGAAUGAUUCCAACAGAAGAGUCUGGUAAGUAUCUCAGAUUUGCAGCUGCGGGAGCAUCUCUUGGUCUCAUUGCCUGAUCACAGACCAACGCUAGUCUGUCCUCGUAGUGACCAAAAUUCAUUUAUCUUUCCUGAUAUGUAUCUCUCUUUAUCUAGACGAACUUUAUUCUUGUACAGAUUUGGGUGGAGCUGACGGGGUUACUCAGCUACUAGUAGUUUAUCAACCUAAGUUGGGUGAACCUCAGUUAGAUCCUCAUUACCCAUUCCUGUUGUUGCCUUAAACAGCAGUAGUGAAAAUCAGGUUACUACUAUUGCUGGCAAAAUGUAAAGGGAUGGUCCACUAGGAAGUAUCUGAUCCACAAAAAUGAGGUUGUAAUUAUGCACUGCUAAUAGCUAGUAUUGAUUCAGAAGAUCAAAUAUUGGUCUUGGCUGGGAAACUCUUUUCUAGAAGUAUUUUGAUGUUUGGUGGUUCAUAGGAUAUUGAAUUAUCAGCCAUGUUGGUAUUGUAUUGGGUAUCUCAUAUGCUUUGUGUCUCAACUUUGUUCUGAAUAUAAUCCAUCUUUAAAUAAAAAAGAGCAAAGAAAGAGCAAAAUUUUGUUCUGGUACUGCUUUUUCUUUAGUUCUAUCGUUGUGUGAGCUUUGGUGCUCAUCACUUUAGUCUAUCUUUCCAAACGUACCCUACUUUUUUUUAACCUUUUGAGAUGGAUUCCUUCUGGACAUGAAUUGCAACAACAUUGCCAGUUAUGAAAACCAUACCUUUUUAAGAAAGGGGAUGGGAAAGAUACCUUGGAAAGAAAAGGCCAUUGGAUAAUAGGACAGGACUGAAAUCCGCACUAGUAUUGUGCCUUUGGGAAAACAGUAUCAAUCCCAAAAAAGGUGCAAUGUCUUUGGCUAUUUCUAGCAUCAGCUGCUAACGCUGCAAGAGCUUCCUUGGCAGGUGCUGCAUGAGCUUCUUUGUCUGUGUGGUCUAGAGGGGGCUUCUGCUGCUACUUUUGCUACGAGUUUGAGGGAUGCAUUUGUUGGAUCUUAUGCCCUGAUCGUCCUCGCGUUGUUUUAGGGGUGGGGUAUGUAUCUACUAAUAUUCUUUGACUAUGACUUUGAAUAGUCCGUGGUUAGAAAAAUAGCUCCAAGCAAAGGUUGUACCUAUAUUUGCUUCUUUUUUAUGGUACAGGUUUGUGAAUUUGCUUGUAAUUGAAUUUACAGCCCCCUUACAUUAUGGUAUUAAUUUGUUUUGGUAGUGGCGCAUAGAUUGCCGUAGAUUAUGAUAUCUGUGAUCUCAUGGACUAAAUCAUAGCUUCAGUUGCAGAGCUUCACAUUAGACGUAGAUUGCAGAGUUGUUUACUUAGAGAUGCUUGCUGUUUAUGCUCAAAAUCACAGAUUACAGGCUGAAUAGUGUUAAUUGAUUAUGGCAGUAAUAUGAUGCUGAAAACAAGUAAUCUUAAAUAACAAAUGCAAAAUGUAAAAAAAAAAAAAAUCACAUCCAAUGUUUAAAAACUUGGCAGUUUAAAUAUAGGGUAUUGACCCAAGUUGAAGUACCAACUCCAUAGUUUUUUCGUAUUUUUGCUAUAACCAAAUAUUAUCUGUUUAUUAUCUGUUUAUCUGUGUAGGCUAAAAUAUCGCAAUAAUCUAAAAAAGAAAAAGAAAAUUUAUGCAUCUUACGAUACACAGAAUCAAUUAAUCAAUAAUAAUAUUUCCUAAAGGAUGGAGUGCUGGACGCUUUUUAAUGAGUGCCAAUAACAUCUGUCAAAAAUAAUCAUUCCAAUUUUAGGCAUGUAAAUGGGAAAAUUCUAUGAUCCUGUUUUAUCACCGUUCCCUCAACUUAAAUACCACACUAAAGAUAAAUACUUUAAAUUUUAAAUAUUUAAUAAUAUUUAAUUUAAUUGUCAAUAACACUUCAUUUAUCAUUUAACAGUGAAUUUUAUUUGUAACUAUAAUAUCCAAAAAAAAAAAGAGUAAAAUCUCCCUACUUUAUACGUGCUAUUCUUCUUUUUUUUUUUUUUUUUUUUACUCAGAGGGUAUCCGGGCUUUGGGUAUGCCGGAUCCGACUAAUUCCCUGAGGUCCGAGUGGAGAGGUUCCAUCUCCUCGAACCGAUAACCACUGGGACUCGAUCCCUGGUGGGGGAGAAUGGACAACGCGACCUUAGGAGACUUCUCGUGAUCAACCGAGCUGCCCAGGAGGGACUUAUACGUGUUAUUCGAUAUUGGACCGAUCAUUCAUCAUUAUUCAUUAACUAUUGCUGAUGAACAAUACUUUAUUUUCCUCAGAAAAAAAAACCAUACUUUGUUUCCAAAUUAGUAAACCCCGUCCCGUCACUCCCGUGCGACCCAUGCAUCACCUUCUAAAUUACGCUCUUAGUCCAUCAAAGUCAAACCAACUCGGGUAACAAACCGUGCCAGGUAAUUAAUUUGACCCAAAAAGGAAAAACCCUUUAAAACCCAAGUACUCACCCAAAGAAAGAGUUAAUUUGACGCCAAGGUGUCUGCUCCGGGAGGCUAAGAACGAGGCAAUGGAGAAAGAUGGGAAUUCUGUAAGGGUGGUUGCCCCUCUCCGUUCUGCCCAUGACUUCUUUUUUUCAUUUUCUUGAAAGAAAAUGAUAAUAACCAACAACCCUUUAAUCUUUAGUCUUUCUUUUGCUGUUUUCUGGGAUAAUUUCAUAAACCUCCCCUGAGCUGUUUCUGUGGAGUACUACUACUGAUUCUGAUGAUUCUAGUUCUACUCCAUACCUUUAUCAAGCGCCCCCUAAUCCUUUGGAAGAUCCUGAGUAGAAGAAUAAGGCUGUGACGAUCUUCGUCUUGUUAAAUUCUCGGAGCAAGUCAGGCUUUGAGGCAUGCUGACCCGUAUCUUGGCGGGGCAACCCGGAUGGCGUUGUGGUAAGGGUGCCAGAGGUUGGCUUUUCUUCCUUACACGCAGCAACCGGAGUUUGCAGCCAUGGCGGUGUCACAUUUUCUUUGCCUGAUUCAAUUACACAAAUCUGAGCCUUCCACUCUGUUUUUUCACUCAUUUUAUCUGUUCAUUCGUUGAGUGUGUUCAAUUGGGAGCUAAAGUUUUGCUUCAGAUGAUUUAAUUGUCAGUCAAUUUUUUGAUUUUUGGGUUGAGAUAACUGUCGUUAAGAUUCCUUUUGGCAUGUCGUCAAAUACGACAUGAACAAAAUUCAACCUUGAUUUGGGAUUUCCUGAUUUUUAUACGUGGUCAAAGCUUCAGUCCCUCCGGUUGGAUGUGUUUUGGUAAACCACUUCUUUUGGUGAUUAGUGAAGUUAGACCUUCUACAUUUGUGGGCUUCUAGCUUAAACCUAUCCUUUUGCAAAAUCAGGCUUUUCUGUGUUGAGAUUGUGGUUUUGCAUGUUAGCAAAUUUUAUCUCCAUUAAUGUUGCUCUAAAUUUGCUGUUGUCGUGGUCCUUCCCAAUUUUAUUUUGUAUUUCAGUUUUUUUGUGAAUGGUUCAUUGUUGGAAAUUAGCUCUUUGCAAAGUUUGUACUUGGAGAGUUUUCAUUUCUUCAGUACAGGUUUGUGUAUUUACUUGCAGUUGGGUUUUAAAAAAAAAAAAAAAUCUUUUACUUAGUACUGUAUCUUUAACAUUGAAUUUUGUAUCUUUAUGAUGUCAUGAGCUGAAUCAUGGCUUCAGUACCAGAAAUUUCGCAUAAGUUGCACAAUUGUUGCGUAGAGAUGCGUGCUGUUUAUGUUCAAGCUCAGACAAAUAGGAGGGUUAAAUAAUAUGAGUGGAAUAUGAAACUUUGGUGCCUAAAACAAUCAAUCUUGAAGUACCAAUGCAACAUGUAAACAUAUACAUCAUAUUUAAAAACUUGGCAGUUUCAGGAUAGGGUAAUGACCCAUACUGAAGUACUAAUGGUAUUUUUCUCUUUAGAAUUUUCACCUCAUGAAGCUCUAAGCCAUACAAUAGGUUUUGUGUCAUCACACAGUUCCAUAUUUUUUUUGUCUCUUGCUUAAUCUCAUCACCAUUACACAAACCUCAAAUAUCAGAAUGGUUUUGUUUGUCACUGGCCAAACAGUUUUUUGACUUACAUUUCGCAGGAAAGAGAAUUGAUGUGUCUUACACACACAGUCAAUUAUUCAAUAUUAGGUGAAUACCAUCUAGAAUCACUGGUAUUAUUACAUGUGCUAAUUUGGAGCUUGGUAGCGUUGGAGGUUAGAGUUUCAGAACACGACUCAGUCUUCACCUUUCCGAGAUGGAAAUGACCUUAAAGUACCAUCAGAAAUUUAGUCAUUGUGGACUACAGCCAGAUGUUGCAGCCCUCUUUUUUUUUUUUUUUUAAUAAUUCUGCAGCUUGUCUGUUUUAUGUUCUGACGGUGGCAAGGAAGAUUUUUUAGCUAACCAGGCUUUCAUUUGCAAGCAGUACAUGUGGUUAGCAAACUCAACUAGUUCAGGACAGAAGGUUUUCAAGAGGAAGAAAACUCGCCGCCAUUUUGGUUCUGUCACAUAUCUUUCUUUCCUGCAUAUUGCAACCACAAUUGAUUUUGCACAAGCACUAGUACUCAUGACUGGCAGCUGAUUAAUAAAAGUCUGCAAACAUCCGCAACCACCGUUUACAUUUGAUGUCAUUUAAGAUUGCAUUCUUGUGCUUAAUAAAAGAAAUUUGACAUCUUUAUUAGGUCCAGGUAUCUUACACUUGCCGAAUCUGAGUUUACUUGAGUGAUUCCUUCUCUGUCGAGGUACUUCCCUUUGGACAUCUCUGGCUCUAUAACACCAAGAGUUGCAGUAGUUAUGGAGAUUUCUGGAGCCAGUUCAGCUCUCAUUGUCUCGUAGAUGCUGAGCAAUGCUGCUUUGCUUGCCUAAAAAAUCAUUAGUGCAGUUUAAAAGUAUUUACUGGUAGCGAAAGUGUUAUCAGGCAUUGAGUGCAUUUGUGUUUCUAACAGCAUAGAUGCUAACUCCUGGUGGAUUCAAAUGUGAACCAGCUGAUGCACUCACAAAAAUCGACCCCUUCAUUCUUUUCAGGUAAGGCAUUGCAAAGUAAAUCGGACAGACUGAUUCCCAAAAGUUCACAUCCUGUACCAUUUGAAUUAAUGUCAAACUUGGUUGUGCGUGUAUGUGGGCAUAUAUACCAGAAUCUUAAAAAUUACGAUAACCGGCUCAAAUUCUGUAAUAUCAAUAGCAGUUUCAAUCAGGCACAUAGAAGCAAUUCCUGCAUUGUUGACGAGAUGGUCCACUACAAAGAGACUGAUUGGAUUUCUACUCGUAUUUGUAUCAUAAAAGGUAGACGUUGAAAGACUCAAAACCAGAUGGAAAAUGCAAUAAUAUACAGCAAGGAAGGCCGAAGAGAAAGGUGCCGAAGACAUGGAAAAUGCAUGCAUCAAACUGAAAUUGUUGGAGAUUGGAAUGUACAGUACCUCCCCAAUUCCUGAUGAUUCACCUGUGACAGUAGUUCCCUUGGAUGCUUUCAACUGAAAAAUAAUCAUAAAAAUCGUCAGGAUUUUUUAGAUGUAGGAAAAAAGGUAGGAGAGUCCAAAGGAACAUUAGGACGAGGAAUCAGACGAAUCAUCAAAAUAGAAAAACCAUAGCUGAGGAAGGAGCAAUGAGACUGUGGCUGGCUUGUGUGCCUCUUAGGUAUUGGAUUCAAAGCUGAACUGAUCUCCCACUUAUUACUCUUAUACCUUUGUCUUUAUACCUUUGUAUUGCUUACAAAAGUUGACAAACAAAUUGCUCCAUUGGUUUUAGGAGGAAAACAGAAAUGGAUAACAGAAAAAUGGAAGGCAUCAUGGCAGAGAAACCUAGCAGGUAAGUUAUUAUGUAUUAGAGUUCAAGUGAUUGUAAUCAGUUCAACGAUUAAUGAUGGUCCUUUUGCACUGAUGAAUAUCAGUUUAUGAGGGGAUGAUUCUGUAUCAAUAUAGCUUCAUGUGCCAGCAUCUUGGAGACGGCAUUAUUAAUUGAGUCCUAGUGUGGGAAUCUAUCGAACUCGUCUAAUUGAAUGAAUGAAGGAGAUGGGACGAAAGGAUGCACUACCUAAUUUGAAGGCUACUGAACUUUUUGAGCUAGAGGGGUACUAUGAUAAUAAAACUUCUGUUAGCAAGAUGUAGCAACAUCUUGAUCAGGCAUUAAGUACAUACAUCUAGGUUUCUCACGGAGUUUUUUUUUUUUUGACAAGAGAACCUGCAUCUGCUACUCGAGAGUGCGUAUCGGGUAAAAUCCGCCUCGUGUAAUAGCCUACCAACCACACGGAGAGAUACAACGCAUUACGUUUCUCAUGGAGUAGAUACUGAAUCCUGUUGUGUUCAUAAUUGGACUAGCUGAUGCAUUCACAAAAAAUUAACCCCUUUGUCCUUACCUUUCAGGUAAGGCAUAGCAAAGUAAGUCGGAUAAACUGAUCCCCAAAAUUUUGUAAUAUCAGUAGCAUCUUCAAUCAGGCAUAUGGAACCAAUUCCUGCAUUAUAGACGAGAUGAUCCACAGCUAAACAGAGAUUGAUUAGGCUUGUUCCAUACUUCUACACGUAAAAAGGAAGACAUUACAAACAAAAACCAGAAUAUAAUAUUAAUACCGGAAAUACUAAUCUCUAUUCAUGCCAAUCACUCUAGCUAGCUUAUUACCAUAUGCUUAUUAAUUAGUAUUAUGUUAGAGAUUAAAUUAUGUAUAGUCUUUUGGGAAAAUCGCCAAUUUAGUCCCUAAACUUUUUUUUUCCGUCAAUUUAGUCCCUAUAUAUUAUUUCUAGCCAAUUGGAUCCCUAAACCUAUAUAUCGGUUCCAAUCAAGGAUCUUUGCAGCGGCGCCACCGUAUAAUUUCCAUUAGGUUCAUAAUCGUGCAAUACAAAAGGGGCAUUUUAGGGAAUUCCAUUCUGGCGCCUUUUCCAAUUAAAAAGUAAAUCGAUGUAAAGCCUAAAUCUAGGUACUACCUCUCUUGCACCAAAGAGAGCUGUCCAAUUUUUGCAGACCCGCGUAGAAAAAGCACUGUAAUUCAAUGCAUUCGAGAAAGAAUUGGGACAAAGCAUCCUCAAGCUCAGCCAGUGAUCAAUUUAUUAACACCGUCAAAGGAUCAAAUGGUUCAGAAACAGGAAACUCGAUUUAUGAAGGAAACGAGAAAUACUACAGUGGAGACAACAUCGUGCGAUGCUAUUGCCAAGAACAAUGCCGAAUUGUGACUGCUUGGACAGAGGCAAAUCCAUCAAGAAGGUUUCAUGGUUGCAGAAAUUAUGGGGUAAUUUUUUUGUAUGUGCAUAAAGUUUAGAAUUUGUUAAAAUAUUUCUUGUCUUUUAACUAUGAAAUGGUGGUAAAUGCAGAAACGUGGUGCUUGCAGAUUUUUUUUGUGGUAUGAUCCACCCAUACCCCAAAAGAUGAAAAAUAUAAUGGGUGCACUUUUAAGGGACCUGAGAAGUGUUGAGAGAGAAAACGCAGCAUUAUUGAUUGAAAUGAACAAGUUGAAGGCAAAAGUGAAAAUAUUGUUUAUAAUUUGUAUCUGUUUUGGCGUUUUACUUGUUUUUGUACUUGGAGGCAAGGAAAGGAAGAAACAAGGUUUGCUGGAAUUGAAGAUGUUGCAGUAGUUUUGAAGAAUGUAUGGAAUUGUAUGGUUCAUCUGUACUUUAAAAUGAAGUAAAUACAAUUGAGUUUUCAUCUAUGUUUGACUCUGUUUUGCUUCUGGAUUUGUUAUUACUCUGUUUUGCAUCUGGAUUGCUCAUGUAAGUUUCUGUGACAAGUUCAAUGUUAUGCUGACAAUGUUGACUGAAGUGGAAGAAUUGCAGAAGUGAUGGCCAUUAAAAAAUUGGGUAAACAACAAAAAAGCCCCCUGUGGUUAGGCAAUGAUACAUAAAAACCCCUUGUGGUUUCAUAUCAUACCAGUCGAUACCCCGUGGUUUGAAUUAACCUGAAAAGUGGACGGAAAUCGUCAAAUAUUCGGCGUGUGUCUUAAACGAACUGCAAAGGCGCGUGCAUAUGCGAAAAACAGAUUUCCACCACAAACUUUCACCUGAUAUGCCUAUUUUAGCCUUCACUCUUUAAUAAUAAGAGACCAGCUUCCGUUUCUUCUGAGUCUUCAUUCAAUCUGUUUCCAGAUUAUUCAUUAACUACUGUAGACACCAAAUUUUUAGUGUAUUUUUAUUUACUGUUAUUUUUAUUUUUCAUGCUAGUUUUUAUUUACUUUUAGUCUUUUAUUUUUGUUUUAAGUCAUUUUAGCAUAGAAUUUAUUUUUUUUUUUAAAAAAAAAAGAGGGAAACCCGCAAGCGGGUUUCAGGCUAUUUAACAAAUUACUUUAAAAAAAAAAUUUUUUUUUACAUGCAAGCUGCGUUGAGUUGCACAUGCCCAUCGGAGGGCCCUAGGAUGCCCAGCAAACCUCCCCUCUCAUCCUCACCCUUCAGGUGAGGGUUUGAGAGUAUGUGUUUGAUAUAAAUAGAACAGAAACGCAGCUUUUAGUCAUUUUACAUAAGGGGGAAACCCGCAAGCGGGUUUCAGGCAGGCUAUUUAACAAAUUACUUAAAAAAAAAAAAUUUACAUGCAAGCUGCGUUCUUCAAAAGGGUAUUUUCGUCUAUUCACUCAGCUCCGUCUGUUUUGCCGAUUUCCGUCCACUUUUCAGGUUAAUUCAAACCACGGGGUAUCGACUGGUAUGAUAUGAAACCACAGGGGGCUUUUAUGUAUGAUUGCUUAACCACAGGGGGCUUUUUUGUUGUUUACCCUAAAAAAUUGUUGCUCAGUCGAGUCAUUUGCUUUCUUAUGCCCUCCGAUUCCUUAUUUAACACGAUUUGCUUUGAUUUUAUUUAGCAGAUCAUCGACUCAAGCCCUGGAUUUUGUCCAAGACAUUUUUUGUUUUCAUUUUGGAUUUUUGGGUGUGUAUUUAUCGCAGACUUGUUUCGUUUACUUUUUAAUUGGAAAAGGCGCCAGAAUGGAAUUCCCUAAAAUGCCCCUUUUGUAUUGCACGAUUAUGAACCUAAUGGAAAUUAUACGGUGGCGCCGCUGCAAAGAUCCUUGAUUGGAACCGAUAUAUAGGUUUAGGGAUCCAAUUGGCUAGAAAUAAUAUAUAGGGACUAAAUUGACGAAAAAAAAAAGUUUAGGGACUAAAUUGACGAUUUUCCCUAGUCUUUUUGGACAUUAUAUAAAAUAUUAUAUGAUAUCCCACCAACUGGAUUUGGGUUCGGGGAGGCCCAAAAUUAGGGUUGCCUCGAACUCGUGGUAAGAGAAACAGUAAAAGGGCUCCAGGCUUUGAGCCCUUGACCCAUCCAACAAUCAAGAAUGGGGUUUGACAGGGAAGAGUAUCCUUAUGGAGUAUUAUAUAUCUAACCCCUCAUCCAACGAUGCUUUAACAUUUUCAGCUCUCUAAGAAAAUGAGGCGAACAGAGGGAUUGGGAUUUCUGUGAGGGUGGUUGCCCAUCUCUGUUUCUCUGCCUGUGAUUUCUUCUCGCUCUUUUGAAAACCAACAGCCCUUCUUCGUGGAACAGUUCUUUUCUCAGCUAAUGACUUUAAUACUCCCAUGUGACUUUCCUGCGAACCAAACGGAGCCUUAAUGAUCUCUAACGUCUUGCUUCUUCUUCUUGACAUGACUGACCCUUGUACUUCUUCUUCUUCUUCUUCUUCUUCAUCUGCUUCUAAGGCAACAAGAGGGCUGUGAUGAUUUAACUUGUAGAGCAAAUGGUCAGUGUGUUUGAGGCAAAUCCGACCCGUAUCUUGGUUGGGCAACCCGGAUGGCAAAUGUGAGGGAGAGGGGGAGAGGAGGGGUUUGAGAGGAUCCAUCCCUCUUUCUGGGGUUGGGUCCUCUGUCUGUUUUAAUUUUCAGUGUUUCCCUCACGUCACGUUGCAACCGGUGUUGCAGCCAUGGCGGCGUCACUUUCUGUUUCCCUGACCUAAUUUAGACAUAUCUGAGCCUUAAAACUUCAAAAGUGUCCGGUAACAGCUUAGGAAAAUGCUGUAUAAAACGUUGGUUUUUGUUAUUGGUUGAUUUUGCAUUUUUAGGUUGUUUCGCCUCUCCCUUUUAAGCUUUGGAUAUAUUAGAGUCAGGUUAAUGUGGAGUUAGAGGUCUCAGCUUUUACUAGCUAGGUAGUAGUAACUGGUAAGAAGGAAUACUUACACUGGCCAUGUUAAGCAACGAUCCACUAUUCAACAUGUCAUUUUGUCAGGUCAAGAUAGUAAUAUGAAAGUUCUGAUCCAUUGAAGAGUAUUCUUGCAAAAUCAGGUGCUGAUGAGCAAUUGGAUACCACUGCAAAAUAUUACCACUACUUUGGCCUUGAAUCUAAUUUGUGGAAUACCCUUCUGGAAUGUUUCGAAAGUGUACCAUUCCCUUGAUUUACAUCAUCAUGCUAAGUAGCUAAAGUUGUUGCUACUCACCCGAUGCGCUAGUAUAAAGUUGCUUUGGUAAGAUUUUUAAGUGUUUUGAUACCAUUUUGAGGUUGGUUACUUUGUAGUAAAAAAAAUAUUGCUGCUGUUAUUUUGAAUCUCUCUGGUUUGACUGGUUGCCAUUUUUUAAAAGAGCAGAGGGAGAUUGUCAGAAAAAUAGGAGAAUCUUAUCAGGAACAAGUUAACAGGCGUUUCCUGGGGUUUAUGAUAAUUAGUGGUAGUUCCCCUUUGUGCGAUGUUUCAAGUUUCCUUCCUUUGUCCUAUCACCUGACUAUUUUUCAGUGAAAGAUGAAACAAAAAUUCUAGCAGCCAUCUCAUCCCAGAAAAAAAAAGACUAGCAGCCACUGCACCUCACGCUCGCCCAAGUCUUCUCCUUCUUGGCGUCUAUAUAAUUGAAAUUCAAUUCCCAAAUGAAGAAUCCAAACAAAGUAAAUCAUCUAACUUGAAACCAUUUUUAUCAAAUUGUAGUUUUAGAAUGAAGCAUGAUGACCUGAUUUGAACAACGGGAUGGUUAGUGUCUGUGAACUGUUUAAAGAUGUCAGCUUUCGUGUUAUGAAUCUUCCACCUCUGUUCUCUCUAUAUGAUCUAAUAUAAGCUGUUACGCUGAUGAAUAUCCAUGAAAAACAAUGUCCCAAAACAGACACUUAAUUUGCAUGUUUCGUGACGCAAAAAUAGAACCAAUUGCCGACUCCAACGACAAUGAUCACCGGCUUUUCAUGGCUUGUGCUGGGAUGAUGACUUCAUUAGGAAAAAGAUUAUCUAGAGUUUGCACGCUACAGCCAAAAACUGCAGCUAGUCUGAUUUACUUUGUGAACGAGGAGGCACUGGAGUAGCCUUUGCUCCCCAGGAUUUUAUCUUCAAGCAGUGUUGGUAGCUAGCCCAUUCAAUUAGUUCAGGACAUAAUAUCUUCAGCAGGAAUAGGACCUUGCACCAUUUGGGUACUGUCACAUAUCUUUCUUUCCGGCAUACCGAGUCCACCAUUGCUUUUGCACAAUCAGGGGAGCUCACGGCUGGCAGCUGAUCAGCAUCUAAAAAAACCUGCACAAAAACAUAAUCACCACAAUAUUCAAUGAAUUGCUCAUUUUAGAUGAACUUCUCUUUUUGAUUAUAUUGUUGAAGUACCUAAUUACCCAAGAGAACUUUCAAACUUUUUAUAAACUAUAUGAUCAGAUGUCUUACAUUUACCAACUCUGAGUCAAAUUCUGUAGUUCCAUGCUUGGUCAUGUGUUUCCCUUUGGUAAUCUCUGACUCUACAGGACCAAGAGUUGCAAUUGUUAUAGAGAUUUCAGAAGCUAGUUCAACUCUCAUCGUCUCGUAGAAGCUGACCAAAGCCGCUUUACUUGCCUGAAAAAUCAAUUAUAUACUACGACAUUUUCGAACAGUUUACCUGAAAAGAAAGCCAAAUACGUCCAGAACAGAAUAAGCUCAUGCAAAGUAUCUUACAGAAUAGAUGCUCAAUCCUGGUGGGCUCAAAACUGCAGCUGAUGAUGCAUUAACCAAGAUGGAUCCCUUGGACCUUUUCAGGUGAGGAAUUGCAAAGUAAGUCGGAUAAACUGAUCCCCAGAAGUUCACAUCCUGAAAAUUCGAAGUACAUGGAACUUGGUUUAAUAGAUUGAUUCCUACACUCUCUAAACAGUCAACUCAUGACGGUUAAUUACCAUAACAGGUUGGAGGUUUGUAAUGUCAGCUGCAUCUUCAAUUAAGCACAUGGAGACAAUUCCGGCAUUAUUGACAACAUGAUCCACUGCAAAUAAACUGAUUAGUGAUUAGGCUCUUUUGUAAAACUCUAUACGCUUCUUGCAAAAGUUGGUGAUGGAAAUACUUACAUCUGCCAAAAUGGUCAACUGUUUCCUCAACAAAUCUCUUGCAGUCAUCGACCUUGAGUACAUCUGCACAUAUGGGGACAACGUCCGGCGAGCCAAGUUUCCGGGCAUUUUCUGCCACCUCCUUGAGGAGAUUCUCCCUCCUGGCAACAAUAACUAGACAAGCUCCUCUUUUGGCAUAUUCAUAUGUCAAGUGCUGCAUCCAUAUGAAUAUUCAUCAUUCUUCUAGAACUUGAUGGGAUGGUAAAUGGUAAUCACAAAUGAUCAAGAGCGACCGAAAUGGAACCGUGAGAACAAAAUCAUGGAUUUGAACGUACCUCUCCAAUUCCUGAUGAUGCACCUGUGAUUAGAACUACUUUUCCCUUGAUGUCUUCGGUUGAAAAGUAUCUGUAGAAAAACAUCAGGAACUUGUAGAUGCAGAAGAAUGGUAACAGGAUCCAGAGAAUGGUCUGGAUGACGAUCAUACGAAUCGUUCGUGAGAGAGCCAUAGUUGACCAGCUGCUGUGGCCUAUGUGAUUAAGAAUGUAAUUUAUUUUCUAAAGAGUUGGUUAGGUGUGCAGAUGUUGUCUAGUUAAAUACGCAUUCAGCGACGUAAAAAUAGGCCAUUUCCAUCUUGACGCAGAUUAAGAAGGGUAAGUUUGUGUAGUUAAUGCAAUUAUUUUUACUUAAUACUUUCUUCAUGUAUCCCUCAAUUAAUACUAAUUUUAGUGCUGUAUUGAUUACUCUUAUUAGUAAAUAUUUAUUAAAAAAAGAUGCACAUUAAAUAUGAACAUAGUGUGAUAAACAAACUAUGCACCUCAUUAUCUGUUAGGUGAACAUUUCAAGUUUUUUUUUUUGGCUAGAAAAUAGUAUAAGUCAUGUUUUGAACGUAUUCUUUUUUGGUAUUUUGAACUUUUUUUCGAUUAAGUAUGUUUUGAAAAUACUUAUUUUAACAAAUGCCUCCUCAAUUAGUUAGUCUACUUUUUGUAAAUUGAUUAAUAAAUGUGGUCAGAAAAAUUGGGAAUGAAGUGUAUUGUACUACAUUAGAUGACAUUAGAAUUUUGGAUCCAUCUGCAAUCUAGUAUUUGUCUCAAUACUAGACGUGUAGUAUUUAUCUUUGUUCAAUGUGGGAGUGACAACUCAACAAAUGAUAAGUGCAAUGAUUGAUGAAAAUAAAUAUUCAUAUAAAAUGUCCUAUUUCUGCCUUGGGUUAUGACCGGUUGUUGUAGAUGCAUAACCAGGAACAUGUGUAUUAAAAAAUGAAAGAAGUGGGGCCUGGCUUACAGAAACAAAAGUGCAUAUUCUUGUAUUGUACCGUCCACGUCUUUAAAAUUUAUGGUCUUCCCAACGAAUUUGUAUCAGACAAAAUUCAAUCUAGUUGUACAGCAACUAGAUUAUCCGAGGAUUAGUGCCAAGGUAUGCUGUCCAAGUUGCAUUCAAUGCCUUCACCAACAGCCACUCAAGCUUUUGGAAAUGAGUUAUUAAAAAUUUAAUGAAUGAAAAUGGUUGUUGUGAAUAAUAAAUGGCAUUACUUUGAACCUAUACUAUAAAUUGUUCAAGAAUGGCAAGGAUCCAUCACAAUGUAUAUGGAAGAAAAGUAGGCGGAAAAUCAACAAAGAAAACCUCCCAAAAUUGAAAAGAAUAUAAGUAAUAUUUAUUAAAUUUUGAUAAAGACCACGUUUGUGUUUUUUAAAUAAUUAGAUAAAUCACUAAUGUUAGAGGAAAAUGUUAUCUGUGGGUCUUGCAUUAUGCGGUGGGAUAUGCAUCUCUUUGUCUGAUUAAUUUUUACGAAGUACAAAAUAGUCAAUUUUUAUGCAACUAAUUUUGUGUUUAAUUAUUUUCACUAAGUUUUGGGUCACUAUUUGACUAUUGGUUCCGUCAAGGACAUGGAUUUGAUGUCAUAAUAAUAAUUUAAAAUAUUAAUAGAGGAAUGUUAUAGACAAUAAAAACUAUGUAAGGACAUAGUUUUCAUGUAUGUAAAUUUGGAAGAAAGAAUCGGAAUAAAUUAUCAGCGAGAAAGUAUUGGAAGAAAACAACCAACCAAAUUGUGAAUGAGUUUGUGUCCAGAUGAAAUAGUAAACUAUUUUCGUCCAUUUAUGACUUUUAUUGUAAGUAAGGUAGUGGGAGAAAAUGGUGGAUAAUUAACAUAAAAACCUCUUUUAAGACUUUAAAUCCUAUUACUAAGUCUGGAGUCGUAAAUUAGUCAAUGUUUUUUUCCUGCUACUCCAUUGUUUUUUCUUUGGUAGGACUAAAUUUAAAGAUUUAACUAAUUUUUUUUUAAAAGAAAAAAAAAAAGGAAUGACAUGUAUUACAUUUUUUUGUAUAAUUAAUUUAAUUAUGAAUUUUGUGGAAGAAGUGAAGUUUAAAAGCGGCGUGUUUAUAUUUUUGAAUUCAUAUAUCAUGUGAAGUUGAAGUACUAAGUCUGUUUACGUGGGAAUGAAAUGUAGUAAAAAGGAUUUGAGCAUUGAAUACCAAUUCUGGCAGUACGUGAAUGCUAUAUACUAAGCAAUCUUUUGUUUUGUAGGAAAAAAAAUGGAAGAUGGUGAAGGCAUGUGUGGAAGACAAUCAAUGUUAAAUUUAAAUGAAUAUCCAGAAGACCCAUAUGUAGAUGUGGAAGGAAAUGGCAGUAGAGAGACUGGGGGUGAAGAAAAUGUCAAGAGCACUGCAAUUGAUAUCGCCUUCGAUCAAUUUUGCGUGGAUGACAUUGAGAGUGAUGAAGUGAUGAAAAUGACAUUUCCGUCCGAGUCACAUGCCGAGCUAUUUUACAACACAUACGCAAGAGCAAUUGGGUUUAGCAUCCGUAAAAGUGAUUUCAAGAUGUUUGACAGUGAGAUUGUGAAAUACAAAAAAUGGGUGUGCUCGUGUGAAGGAGAGCGCAAUCCAAAAUGGAGAAAUCUUCAAAAUAGACAGAGGGAGGCAAAACCCGACUUUAGAACAAAUUGCAAAGCUUGUUUUCGGAUAAAGUACAAGCCCAGUGAUGAAGUUUAUGUUGUAACCAACUUUUGGAAAGAACACAAUCACCCAUUAGCAAGCAAAUCAAGUGUCCAAUUCUUGCGAUCACAUAGAGCUGUGAAUGAUGCAGAUUAUGCUCUAGCCAGAAGCUUGCGAAGGAUGGGUGCCAGAACUAGUCAGAUCAUGAAAUUUUUUAUGUUGCAAGCCGGUGGGUAAAGCAAUUUGAGAUUCAUGUUGAAAGAUCUAUACAACAAGAUAGAUGCUGAGAGGAAGAAAGAAAUUGCUGAUGGCGAUGCAGAAUGUGUAGUUGCAUUCUUGGCUGGAAAGCAAGCUAAUGAUCCGAUGUUUUAUUAUUUGUACCAAUUGGAUGACGACAGUAGACUGCGCACUCUUUUUUGGGCGGAUUCACGGUCUCGAGAUGAUUACCGUUAUUUUGGAGAUGUAUUGAUAUUUGAUUCAACAUACAAGAUGAAUGAAUAUCACAAGCCAUUGGUUAUUCUUGCUGAGGGUAAACAAUCAUUUCCGAACCUGUGUCUUUGCUUGUGCACUGAUGUCAGAGGAAAAUGCUGAUAACUACAUUUGGAUAAUUUAGACAUUCAUAUCGGCAAUGUUCAGGAAGAAGCCUGUAUCAGUUCUAACAGAUGGUGACAAAUCGAUUAGGAAAGCAAUUAAAACUGUUAUUCCAGAAGCACACCACCGAUUAUAUUCCUGGCACUUUCAACAAAAUGCCAAAACAGGUGUGAAAAACUAUGAUGACUUUUUUGAGGGCCUUCAUAGAUGUGUGUAUUCAAACUACACUGAGGAGCGGUUUGAACUGGAAUGGAGGAAAUUAGUCAAGAAUUGUGCACUACAUGACAAUGAAUGAGUGAAAAUAGCUUAUCGUCGGAGAAGGUUGUGGGCACAUGCAUACUUAUGGGAAAAUUUCUUCGCGGGAAUGAGAAGUACCCAAAGAAGUGAAAAAAUGAAUGAUGUGAUGAAAAUGUAUUUGGAUCAUGGCAUGAAAUUGUUCGAGUUUGUGAAUGGACACGAAAUGGGAAUUGCAUGGCUGAGGCAUCAAGAGUGCAAAGAACACAGUGACACCGAAAAUAGUACCAUUGUAAUGACCACUACCUUUCCGAAUUUGGAAAAACACGCAAUGGAGUUCUACACCCGUACUAUGCUUUUCAAAGUUCGUGAUGAAAUGAUCAAAUGCAGCAUGUAUAAUCCUGAGAGGGCUGGUUCAUUUGGCAACCACACAGUUUACCUCUUGAAUAAAUAUGGAUCACCAGUUCUACUUGGCGAGUGGAGUUGAAUAGAGAGACACUAGAAAUGAAGUGCUCAUGUAUGUCAUUUGAUGAUAUUGGCAUCCAAUGUGCUCACAUGUUUCGAAUCAUGGUCUAUGAUCACAUGAGCCGAAUACCGGAUUGCCACUUGUUGAAAAGAUGGGGUAGACGAUCUAAUGCAGAAUUUGAAAAAGAAAGUUUAGGGGAAACUAUCAUAGAUAGUGUUACUCAAAUGGCAACAUAUGGGAAUCUAGCUUCCGAGUGCAAUGUGAUGUGUUACUAUGCAUCACAAGUGGAUGACGGAUCGGUCGCCCGGAUUAGAGAAUUUGUUCAUAGAGAGACAAACCAUCUAAAAGAAUUGGUGUUGUCCAGGGACCGCAAUAUUAGUGAUGCAACUAGUGUACAAGUAGAUGGGCAGCAAGGCUACUUGGGAUCAAAGAUCCGCUGGUUGGGCCAAGGGUGAUCAUAUUAGCAAAGGAAAAAAUGCACAAAUUCACAAUAAGUGCGGCAAUUGCGGGUAUGUCCAUCUAAAUAGCAUAGUGAGGAAUUUUUCGAAACUAGUUUUCUUUGACUUAUAAUACAUAUGUUGACUAAUCCCAUGUAUGUAUUAUAGAUCGAGGGACGGGCAUAAUUCAAGAACAUGCACGAAAAAAUGGAUGCGGAUGGAUGAGCCACCACCAAAUUAUGCAAUUAGAACUGGCGGCAUAAAUAACUCAAGUCAACAGUUCUAUGGUUUCGAUUUCGACCGUCAAGAUCAGCAAGCAGAAGUAAGCAAGGGAAUGGAUGAUUGGAUAAAUCUAAGCUUACAGGUAAUAUUGGAACAGGAUUAAAUUAAUAACUUACCAAAUUGUGUGAUGGUUUUUUAGCAUAUCAAGUUAAGAAUACACAUGUUAGGAGCCUAAUUAUCGUAAAUGAACAUGCAUUGAGCUUUUACAUUAAUGAUUUCCAUUGUGAUAAGAUGCACUGUUAUAUUGAUAUCUUUUGCAGAAUGAAUAUAGAAAUGGGAACUCUAGUGUAAUGGGUGACACGCCUAAUAGCAUUUUUAUGGAGCAUUCUCGUGCAUCAGAAAUAGAGGUUAGUUGACUGUAAUGGCAUGCUUUUAAAACAUCAGUCCAAGCAAAAUGAAUUUUUAUAGUGUUUGUUACUUGUUUAAUUUUGUCUAAUAUCAUAGACUUUGAGUAUAGGGAUGGUGGAAUCAGCAUUGAAAACGGAGGCCGCAUCAAGCACAAGCCUAUAGGAGAUUUGCUACUGUCCCUCAAAUUCACGGUUCCCACCACACAUCAGCAUGCUGGGGGGAAGUGAAAUUCAUAGCAAUUGUGAAAACUUUCCUUGUUUGAAAUAGAAUUCCAUCUCGUGCAUUUGCGCCAAUUUUUUCCGCUAAUGAAUUGUACACGUUUGGAUUCCAUCCAUUUCAUCAAUUUGUGCCGUCUUAUAUUACUUUAAUUACAAUCUACAAACAUUAGGACAAUAUCGUAUAAUUAAUAUGUAGUUGACAUAGUUUAUGUCAACUACAUAUUAAUAAAAUUGCAACAUUUUGGCUUUAUUUAUGAUAGCUAAUAAAAAAUUAAUUUGACGAAAUAAUUUGUCUAAAUUAAUCAUACAAUUAGCAAACCCACCCCAACUUGUACAAAAUUUAUGUAUUGGAGUAAUUUGGAAAAUUAAUUUUUUGGACUAAUUUACUCCUACUUUUUUGGACUAAUUUAUUCCUAGUUAUAAAUGACUAUUCAUUUAUAACAUAAAUGAAUAGUCACCCAUAUUAAAAUAAUAGAAGUAAAUAACAGUUUUUUUUUAAAACAAAUAGCUAUUUGAUCACUUGCUAUUAUUUUUCUCGAGCUCAACUAGGCUCAAACUCGAGAUUAAUGUUGAAUUCGAGUUUUAACAUGAAAGCUGAUAGAGCUCAAGAUCGUUGUCAAGAUUUGCAUUGUACCAAAAAGAAAUUUUGCACUCCAUCUCAUGCUAUAUUAUUGAUAGAAUAAAUAUUGAUCGUAUGAUAAUUUGAAGUUAUUUACUUCUAUUGCUUGUUGUAAAUGACUACUCAUUUAUGUUAUAAAUGUCCUUUUUUACACAAAUAAUAUAAUGAUCACUAGUUAUUACUUUUCUUAAGCUCAAGCUCGAGAUUAAUGUUGAACUCGAGCUUUAGAAUGAAAGCUGAUGGAGCUCAAGAUUCAACAAUAAUUUAAAAAUGAAUAAAAAAUUAAUACAUUAAUCAAAAAAUUCAACAUUAAUACAUCUCAUGCUAUUUUUUGUAAAUUCAACAUUAACACAUUAAUAAAAAAUGAAUAAAAAAUUAGAGUCUUGUAAUCCGAUAUGAUUCGAUAACCCGUUUACGAAUUAAUAAUAAUUUAAUAAAUAUAAAAAUUAUUUUAUCUAACUAAACUAAGUUAUAUUUUUUUCCAAAGGCAUUAAUCACUUAAUUCUAAAUGAAUUUAUUUAACUUGUGUGAAGUUAAAGUUAUUAUAUUUGGACAAAUAAUGUAUUAUAUUAUUUUUAACUUUUAUACUGUUUUAAUUUAUUUUAUAUUUCGUUUGGGAUAAAAUACCUUUACGGUGUUUGAUUUAUUUUAGAUUUGGCUUGGGAUAUCUAUUUAAAUUUUUAUUACUUGAUUGUGUAAUUAGUUUUGUGCGAAAUUGGCUUUAUUGGAAAUUACAAUGAGAAAUUAAUAAAAUUAAGUUUCGGGCCAUUUCGGAUCGCCUCGCCAACCAGAAAUUUUCGAGUGUGUGUCAAGUAUCUUGACCUGUUUCGAUUUGGUGGGUCAAGAUCAGGUCAGUGGAUUUUUUUGUUACACUCAGGUCUCAACCCGACCCGUCACCCCGAUUUGGACCUGAUUGCCACCCUUAAUCAUACUGGAAGUCGAGAAAAUUGAGUUGAUUCAGCUCAUUUUGUGGCAAUUUUUUUGUUAACGUAAUAUUAAUAUAGGUAAUCAAAAAAUGAACAAAAAAGAAUCUGGCAAAAAUAUAAUAUAUUACGGCUACUUUGUAUUUGCUGCUUUAAUUUGAAGUAUCAUAGUUAACAGAACAAAGUAAAGUAUAGUGAAUUUUUUUUGCAAAAAAUAUAAAAAAUCUAAUCAUUAUAAAGAUUUCUAUUGUAUCAAAAAAUUCACUCGGAAGUGCAGUAUAUAAAGACCUCAAGUGCACAUAGUGGUUGCCACUAAGUAGUAACCGCAUAAAAUCCACCUUAAGAGACUUAUAUCUUCAGCACAAUUCAAGGUCUACCCAAAUGGUUGGCGAUUCAAAUGGCAGGCCAAAAAGGGUCCCCUUCAUGGAAACUCUCCCUGAUAACUUUCCUGCUUGGAGUGUGGCAUGUGUUCAAGAAGAUGGUGUAAUGAGGCAGGAGACUAUUCACAAUAUCACCGAAAAUGUUCUUGGUCUGCCCGUCCAUAUUGGCCACAAAGGAAAGGUCUGAGGUUCUAAUGCUGUCUUGAUAAAGUGGUUUUCAUAUUGAUUAGGAUAAAAAAGAUAUUAGUUUCUCAAAUCUGUUAUUGUUAACAUUCUUGCAGGUCCCAGUAGAGUGGUGUGAGACUUUGUUAAGGCAAAACAUGGGUCUUCGGCAUAAGGUUGUGGAGAAAGGUACAGAGAUUUACAAGUUAUAUAGUAAUAUCCAUUCCUUCGGGCCUUGCCACUCUUCGCAUACUGUGGGUGAUCCGGGUAGAAGCAGCGGCCAUGGUGCAGAAUCAGAUUGUUCUGCUUCAUUGGAAGGAAAUGCAAGGACACCAUCCUCCAACGAAGUUGGCUUUAACAAAUUAUUGUUUAAAAUUAGUCCCUCAAAUACAAGCCAUUCUGUCAUCAAAAACGGUGUGAAGAGGCAGAAGACUUCAACUGGGACAAAGAAGGCAUGACCAUACACGGUGGAUAGCUAUGCAUGCAAUUAGAAAUGGACACAGGAAUAAGAAACUGAUGCAAAUAUUCUAAUUGCUGGUUCCUUUUGUUUGGGGUGAUGAUGGGUGGUAGUUUAUUCUAAAAUAUUGGGCUUCACUAGUUUGUUUUGUUAACCACUCACUUGGAAUGGGCUAUGUAUAAGGUGCAUGCUUGAAGUAGUAAUACGUGUUAAUUGUUUUUGAAGUACAGGUUCCAUUAUGAUAAGAAUUUGUACUUUUGAACACUUAAUGGAAUGGUUAUUACGUAACUGAAAUUUAAUCCCGACAUUAAAAACAUGUGUCAAUCUCAUACAAUUAUCCUUUAAUAUUGUGCUGAAGUUUGAGAUCAUUAAAGAUUAGUAAAUAUAAAUUUUUUAUCCAUCAUAUAAGGUAGUAGGAUUCCAAACAACCGUCUUUUUAUUUAUUUUGGACAAUCCUGAUCCAAACAAAAUAAACUGUUAAAGUCCUAAUAUAAAGUAAAUUCUAGUAGUGACAAUGAUUAAGAAAGGAGUUCAAUUCCAAAGCUUAGCGAUUGUAAAGAAACAAUAGAACACCCUAUUCAAUGAAACUCUAAUGGAUCUAGUUGUUUAUGACGAGGAUAUUUUGUGCCUCAACUAACCAAACAAGAAACUAAAUCUUGUUAGUCACUACAUUUCACAAAUGGAGCAUAACACGAGGAGUCUUGGAGGAGUAGUCUAAUUUGUGAAAGGAAUCAAGCAAUGUCCAUCGGUUAUCCAAGUAGAUUGUCUUUGUUGGCUAUUUGUUGUGUCCAAGGUAUAAGGGAAGACAUCAUAUGAUCUAUCCAUCAUCUCAGGUAUCAAGCAAUGUCCAUCGGUUAUCCAAGCAGAUUGUCUUUGCUGGCUAUUUGUUGUGUCCAAGGUAUAAGGGAAGACAUCAUAUGAUAUGUCCAUCAUCUCAGGUAUCAAGCAAUGUCUAUCAGUUAUCCAAGCCAGAUUGGAUUUGCUAGCUAUUUGGUGUGUCCAAGGUGUAAGGGAAAAUAUCGAGAUCUGUUGGAAACGCAUGUUGGCAAAGAAAAGACAGAAAGUUUUCAUUGGCCAAGAAAUUUAAAGACCUAGCAAUUCCUCGUACAUGCAAAGACCACGAAUAAAUUGUCACAAUCAUAAACUACUGUGCUUGUCAUAGUCUGCUUUGCAAACGCUGGACUGCAGGAGUUCACAUGACCAUGUGCAUUCAAUACAGAUAUUUUGAAUCUUGGGUUGUUGGUAAUGAAGUCCAUGUAAACGUUAAACAGUGACAUUAUCUUGAUUAGCAAUUGGAUUAAGAAUAUGUCGUGUGCAAACUGGUAUCCUCAAGCCUGGUAUGGUGGUUACUUUUGGUCCAAUAGGAUUGCCAACUGAAGUUAAGUCUCCUGAGAUGUAACAUGAAGCCUUUCAGGAGGCUCUUCCUGGUGGCAAUGUUGGGUUCAACGUUGAGAAUGUUGCUGUCAAGGAUCUUAAGCCUGGCUAUGUUGCCUUCAACCCUAAGGAUGACUCUGCCAAGGAAACUUUCAGCUUUACCUCUCAGGUUAUCGUCAUAAACCAUCUUGGCCAGAUAGGAAAUGGACACUCCCCACCAAGCAUAUGGAUAGGAAAUGCAUAAGAAUGGUGAUGCUGGUAUGGUUAAGAUGAUUCCUACCAAGCCCACGGUUGUGGAGACUUUCUCUGAGUACCCACCUCUUGGACGUUUUGCUGUGAGGGACAUGCGUCAAACUAUUGCUAUUGUUGUGGUCAAGAAUGUUGACAAGAAGGAUCCAACUGGUUCCAAGGUCACCAACGCUGUAGCCAAGAACGGAGCCAAAUGAAAUGUGUUUAUGAGAUUACGCUUUGAUGAACUAGUUGCUGUUAUUUGCUUUAGUUUUUUUUUAUUUUGUUUUGGACAUCCUAGCAGUUCUCUAGCCUUAUUUGUGAGGAUAGUGGAGAUAUCAAGCAAUCUGGGUUUGAAUCUGGUUUGCUUGAUGACAGUGGUGGAGUCCAUUUCGAAGCUGUCUAUUCUUUUGAUUUCUAUAGGUUUAAACAUAUGAUGAGUUUUUACUCUUUAGUCAGUAAACAAAUUAAAUUUCAAUGUUUUGUCAUUCUUGUGCCUUGAGCUGUGACUUUCAGGUAUCGUUUACUAAUUGGUGGUUGUUCCUCGAAAAAAAAAAGGUUAAGAAUACGUCAUAGCAGGUGUUAAUAUGCUGAAGAUAAACCGCGGUUAUGCAACGAAAAUUUAAUUAUCAUAAAAAAUAACACCUCACAAAAUAUUUAUUUAUUUUAAUCCAAACCGGUGGUUAGCUUAAUAUCUCAUCAUAACUUAAUUAACCCACAUCGAAUAAAUAAAGAUCCCCAUACAACAAAUGAUACACUUAAGGAUCCAAAUUUGUUUCUUCAUUGCAGCCAUAUCUUUCCGGACACCGUCAACAACCUCCAUACACUCAAGUGUGUUGAUAAAGGGCUGCUCCGACAUAACUAUGCUAUCUUCAGGCACCACCAUUCCACCUUCAGCAACCAUUUUCAGAGCAUUUGCAUACUCAUCACACCAACCGAUGAAUGGAGAGCAUUUUCUCUGCAUUGUUAUCAGCAUAAGCAAGCUAAACUCACUUCACAAUACCAGAAAAAACUUCUAACAACUCUGUACCUGUGCGUUGGGGCAAUCGUAGUAAUGUCUGCCGCGAUUCGCUGGAUUGGUUCUAGCUAUUUUUCUCUUACACAAUCCCAUUCCGCAAUUGCAUCUUCGGCUUGGCCAGUUCACAAAAGUUACUGAUGCUUCAGAGCUUGUGGAGGUCAUAGCAAGAAGUGUGGAGGUAGACUUUGGAACCAAGACUAUGGAGUUGGGUUUAAUAAGAAGCAGGAAAUACUUCGCUUGUUUUAUAUGAAUUCCUAUGAGGUAGCCCACAUAUGUCCUAAUGUAUCUGGUUGCAGUGUCUACAUGUGAUAUGGCCCCAUUAUCCGAGUCGUUGCCCAUUCUUUCUUAGCAUCUCAGAUUUGAUGGGCCAGCUUUGAUUAUAAUAAUACUAAUCUUAUGUAUACAAAUACCAUAUUUACAAAUUAAUGAAUCAUUUAUGAUUAUGAUAAUGUUAAUCUCAAUGUAGACAAAUAUCAUUUUUAACACAAGUAAAGGAUCAUCUUUUAUUAUGAUAGUGUUAAACAAAAUUUCAUGAAAUCAUAAUAAAUAGACCUCUUUGAGUGUCGGUAAGAUUAAGUAAAUAUUAUCAAUAUUCAAACAUCUCGUUUUUCGCUAACUAAAUACAUUAAUAUUAAUUUACACACAAACGUAAGACUUAGGAACAUUUGACCCAUUUAUUUGAGUAGAGAAAAUAAAUACGUUACUCUUUAUUUUAUAUUAGUUAUAGUUAAUCGUCUUGAUCAAUACAAAAUCACCUCCAUCUUUCGCUUUUUCCAUUUAAGACAAAACAAGAAUCAAUCCAAUAAAAACACAACAACAGAAUUUUCUUGGUAAGGCUCUCAGUGAACAAAACAUUCCGAUCAAUACAGACCAUUGCCCUCAAAAUAAAAAUAAAAUUUCAUGCCAAUUACAUUAAAACUUAUCCAAAAAAAAAUCCAAUCAUUUUCCGUCAAGUAUGUAGACUACUUCAUGCAUGGUAGAAUGCCAAGGUUAUCUUCACGGACUAACAUUCCGAUCAAUACAGGCCAUUGCCCUCAAAAUAAAAAUAAAAUUCCAUGCCAAUUACAUUAAAACUUAUCCAAAAAAAACCAAUCAUUUUCCGUCAAGUAUGUAGAUUACUUCAUGCAUGGUAGAACGCCAAGGUUAUCUUCACGGACUAAAUUAGAAGGAUGGACAAACAAUUCCAAAGCCAAUGAACAUCGUUCUUUAUCCGACACAAAACUGACAACCAUUUCGGCUUCCAUUUCCGAGACAUGUUUCAUGAAAUACAUAACAUAUAUGCCACAAUCAUUUCUGCAAAAUUGAAGAAAAUUAAUACCUACAAAAAUGACAAAUAAAACUAUAGGAGACCAAUGCAAAUCUUAUAGGAUACUAAAUAGGUUUAUACCCAUCUGGCUGUCGUGGACACCACUGAGGCCUAAUGCACGGAAAUUUGGAUAUGUCUUUUUGAUAAGCUUUCCCAAGACCAUAAGCCAAUGCCUCAUGGAGCAUGUUUCUCUGUACAUACACUAACAUUAACAGUAAAACAAGCAUUUGCAUACCCAACUUCUAAAACAAUUAGGAAAGUUAAUAGUUCUCACCACAUGCAUCACUGGAUAUAGUCUAUUGAAAUUGAACUCCUUAACUGGUAAGCUAUCAUAUAUGUGGAUUGUUUCAUUUUUCAUAUCAAUCACAAAUAGAUACCAGUGCAUGUUCUUCCAAUUCAUAUGAAUGCAUAUCUACACAAGACCAGUUAUGGUUAAACAAACGUCUCCCUCCAUAAACAAAAAUCAAGAAGAUGAAGUAAAAUCUUUUAAACCUUUGCAACUGCAUCUAUGUAACCACCAAAGUUCUCCUUUCUUAAGUACCUAUUGUACAAUACUUCCAGUCGUGGUGGAGAUGAUUCACUAUAUUGCUGGGAUAUACAUUUAAUUUUUGUAUUAGUAAGCAGAUUUAGGUAUGGGAUUAUUAGUAUAGUAGGUUCUAACAAAAUCCCUCACCUGAAACCGUGUUGGCAUGUACCAUAUCUGACUGUGUUCAGUUGGAUUAUUCUUUCUUGUGUUUAUAGUCAAUAAAGCAGCAUAACAAUUGAGUACCUUGUAUACCAGCAGCACAGGGGACUCUUUUCUCACCAACAAAAAAAAUGUAUAAAAUUAUAUGAAAAUGAGAAGAUAAUUACCUCACAUUGAAGCCAUUCACAAGGGGCUAGAGACCUAAACUCUUUCCUAUUAGCAUCUUGUCCUAGAGUCGAUAUUAGCAAAGUACUAUAGAUAUUACUCAACAGCCCAAAAAGUGUUAGUUGUAUUCUAUUAUCAACCGUUACCAUCAAUAGUUGAAGUUCAAAACAAGUAUGACAUUAUACCUUGAAGGUAGUUUAGCAUCUAGCAGAUAAUCAAGAAGCAAGUUCUUCGACCGAAAUGGGAGGCUACACGGAUCAAUUUCUUUCUUAUCCUGCUCACACAAAUUACAGCCAAUCAUGUGUUAUUCAUAAAUAACCAAAUAAUAACUGACAAUUACAUAGCUAUCAAACCUUGCCAUAUAGUAUCUCCAAAUCAAUGUUUUGGUUGUCGCCCUUGGUUGUUGGUUUGGAUAUGGUAUUCAACUGUGACCCUAAUAUCUUAAGAUUACUACUGCUGCUAGUUAUUUGAACAGGUAUCAGGUUCGAGCAGACCUCAUCCUCCGCAUUCACCAAGCCCAAACACGUCCUGGUUUUGCAUUGCCGCUGUGAAUCUUGCCUUUUUUAUAUCCUCUUUGGUGUCUUCUUUUCCACAGCAAUGGCACAAUUUUUCAUUAGAUGAAGAGCAUACCCAUUCCCCUAUUUUUGUGAUGCACGAGCUUUACAUAUCUUUUUCAAUUUUCGGACCUCUGCUUCCUUUAUUCGCAGAGGUGGUGUUUAAGGAGAGCUUACCUUCUUCCUAGUUAUACCCCCACUACGAAUGAUGUUAGCCCAUUUGUACUUGUGGCUAGCUUCUCCGAUAGGCACAUCAGCCAUAGGACUCUUACAGUUAUUAUCCAUCCGAUUAAUUUGUUCCUCUAUAGAGUCUAGUCACUCUAUAAUUCUAUCCAAAACCAAAGAAUCUAGUGAGCAACAUUCAUAUCGGCUGGUAUGUUUUUUUAGGAUAACCUCAACUUGCUCGGCAUCCUCCUGCGAUUUACAUCCACCAACAUGGUCUUCACUUUCUUCAUCGACCAAUCUUCCAAUAGCUGGUGUGCAUUUUUGUUUGUUUGAGCUCUGCCAGCCGCAGCAUGCCAUCACUUGCUUCUGCUUCAUUUUUUUAUCAUUUGCAAAUGACUUGUAUGAGAUGCAAGAUAAUAUUAGACACCGAAAACCUUUCUUCAACAAUCACUGAGAAAGCAGAAUCUUUACUAUCAGUAAGAAAGCAAGAUUGUUUACUAACAUUCUUGUACCCUCCAUGUUUAAUACUCCUCAAGAUCGAGGCUCUUCUUCAAUUGUCGCCUAAACUGUGAUGUGUUUUGUUUUGUUAAUUCUUGAUAAUGCCCACACGGAGUGUUGUUGAUAUAUUUCCUCUGCUGAAGUCUCUGGAGUUUGUCAAAAAGAACCGCUCAAUUAAAGCUAAAGUGCUCUUGAUAUCCCCGAGGUACACUUUAUUUUAUUGAACAGUGAGUACUCUUCUUUUACCUUUUAACCUGGUGGCCUAUUGCUCAAUUUUUGGUUGUAUUAGUUGAUAAGUUUUACUCCUCUAUAUUUUAUUAAUUCCCACACCACUGGUACACUUUUGAUACUAGACUGUAGAGGCGUCCUAGAAUUUUAGAAAAAAGAAAUAUUAUCAAGAAAAUUUUCAUUUUUCUCUUUUAAACUCAUUUUCACUUACAAUUUGUAAAGAUUUUGUGAAGACUAUCAUUUUUUUCCAGCAUCAUUUUUUUUUUCAGCAUCAAAAAAGGUAAGUAUCAUUUUUUUUCCAGCAGCAAAGAAGGCAAGUGUUAUUUUUCAAACGUCAGGGGAGGUGGCCUGCAAUUGUAGAAACCUCAGUCAAAGAAAAGAAACGGUUUGAGCGCAGACGGCUACAGAGGCCCAGAACAGAAGGGAAGGGGCCUCGCAAUUUGCAACACUUAUCCAUUUCCAACCAGUUCGAGCCUUCGAGGCCAUACAGAAUUGAGUAGGAUUCUUUCUUGGCAAAUGGCUCGGUCUGCCGAACUUAUUGCCUUCAUUCUUUUUCUCUCUUUCUGGAUUGUAUGCCUAUCCUGAGAGGAUCAAGUUGAGAGGGAGAUGGGGCCUCUGCAAGUCCUUUCCUUUCCAACCUUCCUUUUGCUUUGAUCCAAACGGUACCUUAAGAUUUUAGCUCUGUGAAGAAUGAGGCUAUCAGAGAGACUGGGGAUUUCUUCAAGGGUGGUUGCCCCUCUCUGAUUUUUAGCCUAUGAUUUCAUUUUUUCAUCAUCGACCAUCUGAAACCAACAGCCCUUCAGAUGCAAUUUUCUACUUAUGAUUAAUCACAAAAACCCCCCUUAAAGUUUUGAUACCCAGACCUUUCAUGAAUAGCAGCAUUACUACUACUAGUAUUGAUUCUGCUCAUCUUCUCGAGAAGCCUGCUUGUCUGAAGGCUGUGAUGAUUCUUUAACUUUCAAAGCAAAUGGGUCAGUGGCUUGAGGCAAAUCCGACCCGUAUCUUGGCUGGGCGACCCGGAUGGCAUAUAUGAUAUGGAGGAGGAGAACAUGAUCUAUCACAUUGCAACCGGUGUUGCAGCCAUGGCGCUGUCACUUUCUCUUUGCCUGACCUCAUUAGAUACAUCUGAGCCUGAACCUUGAUCAUUUUUCCCCCUUGAUGGCGUCAUUUUUUUCUGAAAACAAAAGCAAGUGUUUUUGUUACUUUCAAGAAAUUGGGCUCUUUUUUUUUUGGGUUGGGUACACUGAGGAAUGAAGUUAAAUUAAUGCAAAAUUGCAGUUUACUCUGCAUGAAUUCGUUAGUUCUGGUUAGGUAAUUCUAAAAGUAAGAUGGUUUACGCUUUAGCAUUCGGUACCAUUGAAGUUACUAUUUAUCCCUUUUUUUCCUGUUUUUUAGCAUCAUUAUUGUCAUGCAGCUGCACACGCAUAUUUGAACAAGGAAGAUUUAUUACCAAAUGCUUGUACUCGUUAAUGUCGAUGUUGCUUCUGUCUCCGGAUUUGGCUUUGAAUGAUAUAUCAGGUCAAAGUGGAUUCUUGUCUUUUUUUUUUUUCUUUUUUUUGUCGACACAGAGUGUUCGGAACCAUUGGGCCCGACUAAUCCCCUGCGGCUGUGAGAGCCCCGUCCCAAUGUUCACAGCCCGUUAGCUCUCCCGGGGUCGAUCCAGUGACCUGCCCCUAAAGAGGGGAUUACGGAAAGUCGGAAACCAGUCAAUCUGCCUGGGGGCAAAGUGGAUUCUUGUCAAGCAGUAAUAUUUUGGCUCCACUUUAUUAAGCUGUUUGAAAAUAUGGUAUAACCUCAACCAUUUUAACCCAUGCUCAGUUCUGGGAAAUAUAUAGAAUUAUAUAAAGUGUUGCUGGACUGUGAAAGGAGACAUAGGAGGAGGGUAAAAAUGAAAAAUAAGUUCACAAGAAAAUGUGUCGUUUCCCUGGGAAUCAGUUGAAUUAAUUAAUAUUACAUCCAAACUCACAGCUUUGGCUUAUGCUGCACUAUCAUUAAGAAUCAAAAAGAACAUAAUAAAUCUGCAUGAAAUUUGUUCACUAUUCAAAUACUUGUACAUUUUGCUUGCUAGCGUAACUCUGUGCUAGGUUGCUAAUUGUCUUCUUACUAGUGUGAUUGAACUUUCAGACUGGAUAAUUACACAACAAACUGGGUCGGGCUUCUUGGAAGCUCAUUUGCCCUCGUGGUUAACCGCACCCCAAGUUCCAAGACCGCCUAAGAAACAAAAAAAAAAACACGUCUCAAACCCAAUUCAUAGGGUUGAUGCCUGGGCCACAGAGUGCAGGACAGCAAUGGCAUGGGGCCUCGCAAUUUCUGGCACUUUCCAUUUCAGACCAGUUCACAGCUGAACCGAAGCACUUUCCAAUCUUUCCCAACUUUUUGUUUAGUUGACUUCUGUAAGUUCUUUUAAGUCCUUUCCUUCCCUCGCUGUUGUCUUCAAUCCAAACGGUGCCUUAAGAUCUGAGCUCUGUGAAGAAUGAGGCUAUCAGAGAGGUUGGGAUUUCUUCAAGGGUGGUUGCCCCUCUCUGUUUCUUCUUAGCCUAUGAUUUCUGUUUUGCCAUCAGUAAACUAAAAUCCAACAGCCCUUCAUCUUUCAGCAACAACAUUCAGUUCUGGUUAUUGAACCCGGGUUCGAUACCUCUCAUUUAGACAGAAGAAAAAAAAAGGGGUACAUUGAACGGUUGAAUCCGGAUUGUUCACAAAUCCUUGAAAGCCCAAAUCAUGCAAUGUAAGGCACGCAGUCCUUGAAGCUUCAUCUUACUCACUCAAAAUUCGCUCAUAAGCUGAAAAAAUUAGUGCAAUAAAAUACCCAACUCUGUCUAAUAAGCUUCGCACCAUGGCUCCAAGCCUUUGACAGGUAAAGCAUCUCAAAUUUCCCUGAGCUUCUGCUCUCAGAAAAAUCGGAUCGGCAAAACGGCCUAGCACUACUGCUACUACUAUUAUUGAGUUUGCUCACUUUCUCGAUAAGCCCGCUUAUCUGAAGGCUGUGAUGAUGAUUUUAACAUUUUGAGGGGAUCCAUCCAUCUUUCUGGGGUUGGGUCUCUCUCUGUUUUCUAUGUCAAUGUUUUCCUCACGUCACAUUGCAACCGGUUUUGCAGCCAUGACGGUGUCAUUUUCUCUUUCUGAUGCCUUUAAUUGUUGCCGUGAAUUGGUCUGAAAUGGAACUUGUGAGGCCCCGUUUCCCUUUCUGUCACCAUUGUUCUGUAUUCUCUUGGAUGCAAUGAUGAUUUUUCUUAGUUGUGAUUUGAGCAUGGAGGAAAUCGUGGACCCGUAUCUUGGUGGUGCAGCCCUGAUGGCAUGUGAGAUGAGAAGAAUUUAAAGAUGGGUUCUUUCUUCUCUUUCAUGCAACUGGGCUUGUGCGCUACGGCGGCGUCUUUCCUUUCAUUUUUCCCUGAUCAAAAUUAAACAUCUGAGCCUUCUAAGGUUUAUGCUCUGCCAGUGUUUGUGAGCAUUCAAAAACCUUGAAAUUUUAGCUCUCUGAAGAAUGAGGCACCAGAAAGAUGGGAUUUUUUAAAGGGUGGUUGUCCUCUCUGUUUAGCCUGUGAUUUGUUUCGUAUGAAAACCAACAGCCCUUUUACAGCCUCGUUUGGUUGGGACUGUGGAAUGGGAACUGGAAAGGGAAUGCAUUUAUAUAGGGAAAGUGUCUCUAUCACAACUUCCCAUGCGUUCUUUUUUUGUUUCAUAUGUUAUGACAAUUGACAAUGAUGAUGAUGAUGCAUUGAAGGUAGUGUUUAUUUAAAGAAAAUGAAAGGCUGUGAUGAUAUUUCUUGUGAGAGCAAGUGAUAUAGGCAUUGACGGUGGAAUCUGACCCGUAUCUUGGCUGGGCAACCUAGAUGGCAUUUUGGGCGAAAACUCCCUUUCUAACAUGCAACUGGUGAUUUGCAGCCAUGGCGGUGUCAUGGCACCAAUGCCAGGUUAAGUAUGGAUCUGAGCCUUGUUUGUGAUGUCUACCUGUUUAAGCCAUAUUUACUGCUAUACAUCUUUUGGCUUUUCUCGUUUUACUGCUAGCUGUAGUUGGAUAGUUAUUCCAGGACGUCUGAAGUUUGAUUCACAAGUCUGAUGAUUGAUGACUCUGAUUGUCAAAAAAUACUUCACUAUUUCAGCACCGUAACUUGUAAUUAUCUUCCAAUAUUCAAUGGACAAACAUGAUAACUUUUUGAAAGCACGCUUGUUUUGUAUGUGGAGUGCGUUUAGUUAAUUAAUUACAUCUCAUGUAAUAACAUUCAAUUUUUUGAAGUAAUCUUACGUGAAGGAGUUUGCAUUCCUAUGGUUGAUUGUAGCUGCUGCUGUGAUGUUACGCGAUUAGCUUUUACUUGGUUGCUACAUACAUACGAAGUAAGAAUUUUGACCCAAACUUGAUUUGAACCUCUCCAAUGUUGCCUUGAUGUCAAAGUAAAGAUCUGAGCCAUUUGCUUCAAUGUUUUUUUUAUUUAGGACGAAAAUGUUAAUCACAUAUAAGAUUUUCUUAGAUGUGGUGAUAGCUAUUGCUUCUAGAGCUGUUGCUUGUUCUAACCUGCUUAUUUGCUGCGAAGUCUGAAAGUAUCAGCCUUCUUCUCAAAUUUUCUGCUCAAAAAAUGAAUGAGGCAACAGAGAGAGAUUGGGAUUUUUGUAAGGGUGGUUGCCCACUCUCUAUUUUAGCCAAUGAUUUCCUCACCCAAAUAAACCAACAGCCCUUGUUGUAGCAGGAUCAUGCUAAUCCUUUCUCUGUAUCAUUUCAAUUUCUUACAGUAUCCUUCCACUUCAAAAUAAGCUGUGGUGAAAUGUUUCCAAAGCCAGUAUGGUCAGGCAUUGAGGUGCUGACCAGUGACCCCUAUAUAUUUUUGGCAACCUGGAUGGCAGAAUUGGGGUGGGGGGAUGAGGUUCAUUCUCUUCCCUCUCUCAAAUGCAACCGUUAUUGUAGGAUUAUGCAUUUACUCAUUGUUGAAGCAAGAAAAACUUGCCCCAAUUCUCCCUGUACUCCUUAUUUUUCUCCACUCCUAAACAACACCAAACUAGGCCUUUCUUAAUAUAUGCCAGCAAUAAAAACAUGCCUCAAGAUGGAUAUCAAUGGUCUUCAGGAUAAAGAAGAAUGAGGCAGCAGAGGAUGGGAAUUUGUUAAGGAGGUGGCCCAUCUGGAUGCCAACAAUUUCAUUAUUCACCAUCAGUUAAAGAUGGACGGAACUAACAGCCCUGGUAGAAAAUAAGGGGAUGCCUUAUAAAGCAACAGUGUGUCUUCUCCUGUUCAAAUAAUUGGCUAUGAUGAUGAUGUUUUCUUUAUCUGUGACAUCAAGGUAAAGCUGACCCAUGUCUUGGCAGGGCAACCUGAAUCAUGUGUGAGAUGAGAAGGAUUCGAAAAUGGGUUCUUUCUCACUUGCAUGUAAUUAGGUUUUUGCAGCCAUUGUGGUGUCCUCCUUCCUCUGAUCAAAAGAAUAGAUCUGAGCCAACUUUCUUUACUGUUGCUUAUUUUUGGCUUGCUAGUACUGCCUGCUAUUAUGGAUUCGUUGAAAUUUCAGCUCUAUGAAGAAUGAGGCAUCGAAGAGAUGGGAUUUUUUUGAAGGUUGGUUUUCCCUAUCUGUUUACACCUGUGAUUUCUUUCUUGUCAAAUCCCAUAGGCCUUUAUUUGGUUCCUUAACGAGUAAUGGGAGUUGGAAAGUGUCUGUAUAAGAUCUUUUUUUUUUUUUCUCUAUAUUUGUUGUUUUCUCUGGUGAGGAUAUUAAUAUGUUGAUGAUGAUUUUUGGCAUUUUGUUUUUGAAAAAAUAAAAGGCUGUGAUGAUAUUUUGUGAGAACAAGUAAUUCAGGAUUUAUGGAUGUAUGGAACCCGUUUCUUGGCAGCGCAACCUGGAUGGCAUUUUGGGUCGUGAUGAAUUGCUUUUUAUACGCCCUUUAUGACAUGCAACUGGUGAUUUGCUGCCAUGCUGGUCUCACAGCGUCAAUGCCUGGUCAAAUACGAAUCUGAGCCUCAUUGUCCACACAGUGUCUUGUCUUGAUACGCAUGCGUCUUCUGCUCUACUUGUAUAUUGCAGCGGCUGUGUUUGGAUACUUAAUUUCAUUAGGUUUCGAGUUCAAUUCUCUGGUUUGAUGACUGAUGAGUUUGAUUGGUAAAAAGAGAACAAUUUUUACCAAUGUAAAUUGGAAUCAUCUUUUUAUAUUUACCAGAAAAACAUCUAUAUGGAACAUUAGUGCUGUUUUAUUUUAGUAAAAUCAGUAGCUGUGAAAAACUUGUGGGAGUGAUUUCAAUUAAUGCCAUUGUGUUUGAUCUAACAUGUCAAUACAAAGUUUUUAAGAUUUUCUUCUCUCAAUGAUUUUGCUAGUUCUUGGUUGGCAGUGGGAGCUGCCGUGUUUUGAUACUAUUUUGUAUUAUUUUGGUGGUACGUGAUAAGUUCUCUAUCUACCCCAGACGGUAAUGCCUGAAAUCAGGUUUUAGCCGGGAUCUUUACGUCUUGUUUAAAGCCCAAAAGCUCAGAAAAUGGUGAUGUCUUCUCUGUAUAAGGAUAUAUGCAUGCACAUAUGGUAAUUCUGUAAAAAGAGUAAUUCCUUUUCCAUCUAUAGCAUCAGCAGCUACCACUCAUGUUAAGUUUCAGGUUGCUCUCUCUCGUACCUAUCUAACCCCAAACCCCCUCCCUGGCACUUCUGUAUUAGCUGUUAUGUAAUUUUAUUUGCUAAAGAGGAUAAAGGCUGCCUGUUGGAGGUUCGAAUCUUCUCUUUUUUGCAACUUCCGUGUUUGUACACUGCUCAAGAUUCUCGAACCUAGGAUGACCGUGCACUUCUAUCCUCAUAACUCUGCUCCACUGGGGCUCAAAGAAGUACGUAGGACUUAUGCAGGAAUUGGCUACUGAGCGAGUGGGAAAGAUCAGAUUUUUUUUUUUUUUCCUUAAUUGGUCGUGCACGAGCAUUUUCCAUAAACACGUUGCAAACUUUUCGCUCAAGGUUUAUAACCAUGUUUUGUCUCACCAUGUUUUGUCUUGGUAAUUUUAAUGUGUUUUUCUUCACUUGAUACUAGAAAAAAUAAAGGAGAAGGGGAAGAGCGGGAGAGAGAUGAUUUUGAUAGUUUUCUUUGGGGGCAAAACUCUCUGUUAGUUUGUGGGUCGAGAGAAGGGGACAAGUCAGUGAUCCUAACAAUAUAUAUAUAUAUGAGUUUCCAGUGUUCAGCUGCUACAAAUCCAAUCACUGGUUCUUUUUCUUUAUAUCAAGGAUGGAACUUGGGCGCCCUUUAUCACCACAAUUUCAUAUAUUUUUCAAUAAGAUAUAUAUAAAAAAAAGAGGGAAUUAUCGAGUGGUAUAUGCUGAAAGAAAAUUCCAGCUUUCAUAUUCCUCUUCACUCUAGAAAAACCAUUGCUUCAAAUUUAAACUGUUGUUAACACCUAGAUGAAAACACAAUUCCGUUAAUUUUGCAAGCACUAGAACGUAGUAGCAAAAACUGCACUCGGAGUUCAUCGUGUUAAAAAAAGAAAAAAGAAAAAGAUAGAUAGGAAAAUGAUAGUUUAAGGGGCGCUUUGCAACCUGAAGAAAGUUGAGGGUGUAUCUUACAAUUAAACCUGAAAAAAUAAUUUCUGGGUUAAAGCUCUCAAAUGCUUCUUCAUUAGUGCGUCUUUCUUGAAAAUUAUCGGCUCAAAAGCUGAAAGAAUGAGGCAAACAGGGAGAGAGUGGGAUUUCUGUAAAGGGUGGUUGCCCCCUCUCUGUUUUAAGCCUAUGAUUUCAAACGCAAGCAAACCAACAGCCCUUUGAUUUAGCAGACUGCAGAAAUAAUUCUUGUACUUCCAUUGAGGUUUCUGACAAUUUCACUUUGCACCCCCAACAUGCUGAACGCUUACUACCUCCUCCUGCUGUGGAUCAUGCUAAAUGGCUGUCCUGUAUUUACCAUGAAAAGAGGCUGUGAUGAUUUUAUUUAUUCGCAGAGCCGAGUUGGGUCAGGCAAUUCAGCAAAAUUGACCCGUAUCUUGGCGGGGCAACCCCGGAUGGCAGAAUUGUUGGUACCAACCCUGACAUGCAACCGGUGCUGCAGCCAUGGCGGUGUCAAAGUCUUUUGCCUGACCUUGAUAUUGGUAAUAUCUGAGCCUCCUCUGGAUUUGUUUGCUGCCUUUUAGACCUUGUUAAACGCUUUGAGUUUGGAAAUUGUAUAGGGUUCGUGUCUUUCUUGGAUUCCCUGUUUGUUUAAUUUUUUUAUUUUUUAUUUUUUAAAAAAAAGAGUAUGUAAAUGAGGGUGGUUGCCCCUCUCUGAAUGCCAAUGAUUUUACCCUUCACCACCUGUUAAAGAUGGAAGAAAAAACCACAGCCUUUACGGACUUUGAGGAAUGGAUCCUGUUCCGCGAAGAGAAACCAUUGGGGAUGUGAUGGUACGGGUUCUUUGAUUGUAGAUUCUUAGCUUAGCUGAGUCGCCUCCCCAGUCCAAGUUUAGAAACGCAGGUCUUUGCUGCAAUGGCGGUAAUUAAUGGUUUUGAGCUGUUUUUAUCUAAGUUCUUGAUUAGAUGAGGGUAAAUCUCUCAUCUUUAGCUUUGCCAUCGUUGAAAUUUCAGCUCUCAGAAGAAUGAGCCUGCAGAGAUAUGGAAUUUCUUAAGGGUGCUUGCUCCUCUCUGUUUGGCCUAUGAUUUCGUUGUUCUAGAACAGCCCUUAAACAGCCUUGUUUUGUUCAGACUACAGUUGUUAGAAUCCCAGUCCGGAUCUCAGGAUCCUUUGGAUUGAGAAGAUUUGAAAUAAAAUAAUUUGUUUCACAAAUUCCGAUCACCUUUUUAUCUUCCCAAUCAUCUUUUUAUUUCACAUACAUCACAUCAUAAAAAGUGCUACAGUAAUUAUCUCAAUAAAUCAUCCAAAUAAACUCCUAUCUAAACAAACUCAGUCUACAAGACCUAUCCAGGUUGUAGAUAGGUUCACUGUUCUUUUCUAUAAUAAGCUGUGCACAUGCAUGUCUUGGAUAAAUGCUUUUACAUUUCAUGAUGUAAUCAUGGAUUACCAUCCUAACCAUCAAAGUAGUUGAUCCAUCUUUUUAAUUAGCCAAUGCCAAAAGGUAAACUGAUGCAUUAGCUAGUCGAUAAACUUAUGACAAAGCUACAUUGUGAGUUGAAAAUUAUAAGCUCAGGUCAAAGGACUUUGACCUUUCUGAAUUGAUCAUAUAAUUCUUCAUUAACCAUUAGCCUAAAUUGAAUUAAUAAGUUAAUUACGUUUUCAUAGGAUUGAGAUCCUUAGGUCCAAUUCUAUGAACUCAAGAACGAUUCUUUCUAGAAUCUGAUUUUAAAACCCUUGGACCCUACCGGGCACUUGAAGUUGGAAAGCUUUAAAGCAGGGAGUAUCUCUGUAUGAAAACCUUUCUUCUGUUGUUUUAGUGUCCUUUAUGAUGAUGAUAGUGGUGGUGGUGGUGAUGAUGAUGAUCAGGUUGAUAUCGUUGCAAUUGGUUCAAAGAAAAGGGAAGGCUGUGAUGAUGUUUCUUGAGAGCUAGUGGAUCAGGCAUUGAUGUUUAUAAGCUGUCCCAUAUCUUGGCGAAGCAACUAGAUGGCACAUUUGGGUCGUGAUGAAUGCUUUCACACUCCCUUUUUGGUUGCAACUGGUAAUAUGCAGCCAUGGCAGUGUCACAACACCAAUGCCAGGUCCAUUUAGAUCUGAGCCUUAUUCUCUGGUCAGUUUCAAAAGUUUGCCUUUGAUGGUUCAAUGAUAUAUAUAUAUAUAUAUAUAUGGUGAGGAUGAUGAUUGUGAUUAUGGUGAUUUAAACGCAAACGGUUUGAUAAAAAAUGAAACACUGGUGUGAUAUAUUGUGAGAUGAACUGAAUCGCUUGUGGAUGGGGUACAAUCCAGCUUGGAACUUGGCAGGGCAACCUAGACAGCAAAUUUGGGUUGUUAUGAAAUGCUUUUUAUGUUCCCUUUUUAGUUGCAACUGGAUGUUUUCAGCCAUGGUGAUUUCGCGACCUCGCUACUAUAACCAAUCAGUUGCGUCCCCUCUUCUUCAAUGGUGGAAGAGUUGCAACAACAGGGAAAGAGAUUGCUAUUCCUUGAGGUGUGGUUGAAAGUAGUUUUACGAGGUGGCUGAAUUUCGUUCUGUUGGUUUCCCUAAACUCUUUGGCGGCAACUUCUUUGUGCAAUUAUCCUGCACCAGUGGUAUUCUCACGCUAGGAAGCUUAUAUAUGAGGUGCAACAACACUGAAAGAGAUCACCAUCCAAGUUCCGGUGAGGUAUGAUUUGAAGCAGUUGUACGAGGUGUUCGAGUUUUAUUCUGUUGGUCUUCUGAACUCUUUUGCAACUUCUGUGGGCAAUUACCCUAAACGAGCAGUAUUUUCUCAUCAAGAUUUUUGUCAGUGGAAGGUUCAAGUUGUGCUAUACAAUAAAAUCUUUUGGAAAUCAGCAAAGAGCUUUGUGAAUGCUUUGCUUUGCUUUUGUCAGGCUAGAAGGCAUUAUUAUAAACAGAUAGCUCUUGCAUGUCUUGAGCCACUUCUUUAAGGAUGUUUUUGUCAGGUCGGAGCUUUGUCAGAAUUGUAUACGGAAUGAAAACUUUUAGUGGCCUUUUAUGAUUUUCAUAAAUCUAAGGCAGAUUAGUCUCUUUAUGGAUUUCGGAAGCAAAUCAAAAUAUAUUCUGUAUAUAAUGCCUUUCAAUUUUCUACUGCACUGAAAAAUAUCUAUCCGAACGUUUUGUUUUACGCCAUGUAGCAACACUGCACGUCAAAGAUCGAGGAUGUUUCUAUGUUCAAAGAUCAAUCUAUCCAAUCGUUUUCUACUGCAAUAUGGCUGCACGUCAAACCUUGGAUAGUAAAGGAAAGUAUUGAAACUCGAUUUUGAACAAUUAUAAUUAGCCAGUGUGACUGGUGAGCUGCAAGCCCAAGAUCAUUCUGCUCUGCAAAAUUCGCGAACUUCUGCCCUUUUCUUUUUGGCUGAUCAUGGAGAUGCAACCCGUUAAAAGAGAAGGGUUUUUCGGGGUUAAUUAUUACCUUCCGUCCUGGAAGAAAUGGAGGAUUCUUGUACCCUAUUUGCAAUGCUUAUCGUACUCUCCACACCAUGUGAUUGAAUGAAUAUGAGGAUAAAAGGUCCGAUUGGAAUAAACUAUCAGGUCCAAUUGCGUUGAAUCAACAUCCGCUCAAUUUUGCAUGAUACAAUUACGACAACGAAACCUUUGGCUUCACUCUCACGAGCUAAUCAACAGCUUUUUCAAGAAUGGAAUUAGAACUUUGGCCUUUGCUAACGUUACUGACACUAAAUAAUGUAAAACUGCCAUGUAUAAAUGUACAGAAGAUUUUUUUAUUUUUUAUUUUUUGAAAUGUCACAAGGAGGGUGAAAUGCUAAACUACAGAAAAGGUGUUUUUGGUAAAGAGCCUCCGGACUUGCUUUGAUUUGUGUAUGCUUGUUUUGAUCGAAGCCAAAUCCUCAACCACCCUCAGCCUUAGUGUCCUUAAUCCCCGGAGUUAAAGCAAGUCAUCAUUAUUGUUCUACAGUUAGAUUAAUUAUUGUAGGACUAAAAUGGAAGGAAAGUCACUACUAGUGAACUGAAGCCUCUUAAAAAGACAGAAACAGAAGAUGUGUAGUACCAAGAACAGUCAAACACCUUUUUUAACUUUCACCCGUAUGGCCAAGGUGUAAAAACUGAUCGAAGUGGGGUCAAAAAGUAGAAGGAAAUUGCAUAAAAGGAAGGCUAGAAACACAAGCAGCAGUGGCAAUUAUCUUUUUAGCUCGGAGAAAAGACAAUGAGGCUCUACAGGGAGAUGGGAUUUUCUUAAGGGUGGUUGCCCCUCCCUGCUAAGCCUGUGAUUUUCUUUUCAUCAUCCAAAAAGAUAACCAACAGCCCUUGGAUUUUGCUGGUUUCUGAAGCUUAGCAAAUAUUAUACUACCAUUGUUUCCAUGGAGGAUAAUACUUUUGACUGCUGGCUGUUCUUUCAUCAAAUGAUUAUCUGCUUCAUUCUUGACGUUGUUUCUGUAUGGUUCUUGUUGAUGUCAAUUAUGAUUCCUUGUUUUUUUUUUCCCAACCACAGAAGAAGUAGAAGAAAGAUAUUAGUAACAAAAAAAGGGUUGAAUUAGAGGCUGUGAUGAUGAUUUCUCUGAGCAAAAGAACUUGGGGCGGUGGGACGAAGUGGGCCGUAUCUUGGCUGGGCAACCAGGAUGGCAAAACUGGGAAACUCAGAGAUGGGAUUUCCUUGAUAAUGCAACCGGUUUUGCAGCCAUGGCGGUUCACUCUCUCAUUGCCUAAUUACCACAGAUCUGAGCCUCAUUCCUACAUCUAAUAUAUGUGAAAAUUGUGUGGGUUUGAUUCUUGAAAGGCAAGAGAACCACACCUCUGAUGAAUUAUGAAUAUAUUUUUGGACUGGGAUUUUCUUUCUGUACAUCCCCGACUGAGAUUUUCUGAGGCAUGUAUCUGUCAAUCUGUCAAUUUUCUGAGGCAUGUAUCUUUCCCUUGUAUUCAUAAGAAAAAGAUACCAAAAAAAAAAUUUCUACUUUCUGGUUUUUCACUCUUUUUUUUUUAUUUCCCUGUUUCAUUUGUUGUUUUUCCACCAACCCAGUAGAUUUUAAUCCAUUUUUAGUGCCCCCAGGUUAAUUGAAUUAGUAUUAGAAAGUUAGAACUACAAGACUUUGCAUUUUGCGUAAAAAAGACACUUUCACAUUCUACAAUAAAAAAUAUCUUCCCAAUGACGCAGUCUGAAUCAAGUAGUUCUGGUUUGACUUCAGUUUUUAGGAAAUCGGUUAAAGAAAUUAUUGUGUACUAGUAAUUUCUUUUCUUUUUAUUAUUUCAAUUGUUUUUGCUUUCUUGGGAAACUAAUUAGAAAGGGAAUAUCUACCUAACUGGCUACAGGCAAAAGUUCAUUGGCAGAAAUAAUUUGUCUAUUAAUGUAAAAAAAAAAAAAAGAAUAGAGUAAUUUAAGUGCCGAUGGCAACUGGGAAAAUUCCAAUUACAACAACCAUAGAAAAUAGCAAAGUAACUACUGUUUAUUCCGUGUACUUAGGGGAGGGCACGGGUUAGAUAUCCGUCACAUCUACCAUUUGGCUGAUCUGACUCGUAUCUUGCGAGUCAAUCAUUUUCUGAUCCUUAUGUUCCCUGCAUAUCAGCGAGUACCCUGUUAUAGAGUACUCGCUGAGAUAGGGUCGGGUCAACGGGUACCCGCUUCGCUCUAUUUAUCAUUUAAUUUUUUUAAAAAAUAAUUUAUACUAAUUUAAUUUUAUAUUUUACGCAUUCAUGUAAGAUUUAAUAAAGAUUUUUUCUCAAAAAAAGUCUCCCACCAAAAAACAAGCAUGCGAAGAGAAUAUAAGAUAAAAGAUAAUAAUUAAAAGAAUUCAAAAUCAAUAAAAGUUUGAAAUAAGUAGCACAGUUUUUGAAAUAUAUGUUUCACAUUAAUUAAGCUCUUUUCUAUAAAAAUAUAAGAUUAUGACAUCUACAAAUGAAUCUUAUAAAUAAACUAUAGUCUCUCCUAUUUAUAAUGUAAAUUGUUUAUGAAAUUAUUUAUUAAGCUCUAAAUUAUUAUUUUAUAGCAGAUAUAUAAAAAUAAAAAAAAAAUAUGCGGGGCGGGUCUGGUAUUCGCGGGUUUUUAGUUAUGUGACCCUAAUCCGUCCCGCAUCUUAGCGGGUAUCCGAUUUUUUUUACCCGAUCAAAUAACAUAAAUCGGGUGAUAUAAUUUUCGAAUCGGAUCGAAUCAGAUAUGACGGGUUUCCGGAUUAGCAAAUAAUUUUGCCCACCCCAACUUAUAAUUAGGUGGUGCCAAACCCCAAACAAAAAAAUAAUCAGAAGACCAUAUCGGACUCGGUCUGUCAAAUACUACUGUAAACUAAACAAGAAAGAGAGAGAUAUAUAUCUCGUGGACGUUGCCUUAUGUGACAAUAUAAUUAUGCUAAAGUAAAUUGAUGUAAAUACUCAAUUUAACGUGGCUGUACUAUAUGACGGACCAAACAAUUAAAAAUAAAACUAUUGUUAGGAAAGUCACUACUGUUUAGAAAAACAUUUUUGGAACAUUUCAUAUAAUUUAGCUAACAGGUGCCUAAUAGACACCCAAUAUUCAUUAAGAGAGGAUCAGGUGUUAAUUUUUUUAAAAGGUGUAGUUAAUUCAAAAAUGUACCCCAAUUCAGGGGUGUCAUAAAUAUGAGUGUGCAUAUUUAUAUAAAACUUAGAUGUGAUUUUAGUAUUUUAACAAGCGCCCAUUAUAUAUAUUUGUUAGAAAAAUCCUAUUUCAUAAAACACAUUUUAUUAUUUCUAAAAUCGCAAUCCAGGAAGAGACUUUUAUGUUAUUAUACAUAUAUAACGAGAUGCAACAUGUCUAAUACAUUCUUAUGAUGUGUAUUGUAUACAUAUAAUCUUUGAAAUUAGAAUUUGAUAUAGAGUUUAGCCAAUGGAUAUUCACUCUACAGUCUACACCAAUUAAGAGAGAUCUCACGUGUUAAUUUUUUUUUUAUAAGAAUAAAGUUAAUUCAGAAAAGGAUGGGUAAAUGUAAAUAAAUUGUUAAGUCUUCACCCGAUGUUCACCUGAUAAAUAAAUAUGUCGUCAGUCUUCACAAUUACCAAGAUUGAAAGGGACAUGACUCAAUGAAUAGCUGUUGACCAAUCCACCUACGAUGGUCAGGAAAAAGGCUUGGAACCCCAAGAGCCAAGAUCAAUUAGCUAACUUGCUUUAGCUGAUCAGCUCAGAGAACCAUAAUAAAGAAAAUGAGGCUGUAUAGAGAGAUGGGAUUUUCUUAAAGGGUGGUUGCCCCUCUCUGUUUAGCCGAUGAUUUUCUUAGUGGUCCCAAAAGAAAAAAACCCAACAGCCCUUUCGUCUUUCUGAAACCCUGAGGAUGAUGUAUCUUCCAUGGAUUGCAGGGGAGUACAAUCUUCUGGGUUUCAACCAGAACGUAUGUUUUCUGUUUCUGUACGUAUCUUAAUUUGGUACCUCCUGCAUUCAGUGUAUACUAAACUUCCAGGUUAAACAACAACCAUUUUUGGAUCUCGAAUUUUGAGGCUGUGACGAUGAUUUGAUUUCUCUGAGCAAAUAAACGUUAGGCAUCUGAGGUAAAAGUGGGCCGUAUCUUGGUUGGGCAACCCGGAUGGCAGCGGUCGGAAAUCUCACUGCGGGUUUUUCCUGAUCUGCAUCUGCAACCGGUUUUUUUGCAGCCAUGGCGGUUCACGUCUCUCACUGCUUGACUUAUGGAUUACUGAUCUGAGCCUCACAUAUAUAUA
rnacentral:lncRNA from 1 species